GAGGGGUGCAAACUCGGUACAAGAAUUUUCCCAUGGUUUUAAUUGGUUGACAAACAACACCUCUAUUUCAUAUUGUAGCUUCCCGAUUUUUAGAGCAUUUUAAACAUACCAAAGUGUUUUGGCUGCUCCCACGGGAAGUCGAACCCGGGUCUACUGGGUGCUAAUCAGGUACUCUGACUAUUAGGCUAGAGGUCCUUUCGCUAAGCAUACCAAAGUUUUGAGGUUUUUUAUUUUUUUCUACAAACUAACUGAUGAUCUUUAUUUUAUGAACUAGGAAAUAUUAAAACCAUAUUAUAAUUUAAAAACUUGCAAGAAAAUCUCACAUUUGUGUUGCAUUUGUUUGCCUCCUUUCUAAACCCUAGAUUCCAUGUAAUCUUUUCCUUAGCUUAAAUUUGGAUUCUAUUCGAAUUUAAAUCUUCCAAGCAAACAACAAAAACUAUCUCUAAAUCCCAUUUCUGGCACUGGGCCAAAAAUCCAUCCACUUUCAUUUGAUCCACAAUAUUUUCUUCUUUUCUCUUUUUCCCGGCCCAGCUCCAAUCCACCAGCCUGCUCAUCCAUCUGGUCCAACUGUGUCUUGUCUUCACCAGUCCUUUGCAUCUCCUUUGGUUCAACACCCCCCCCCCCAACCACACACACAUGCAGUAAGAAUGGCGUUGUCACCAAGUUAUACCGACGCACUACAUCCUCCCUCUCAUCUUCCUCGAUAGUCCGCACCAGGUUGUCAUGAACUUGACUUGCACUGCUCCCCUCCAACGCUUCGCACCAUAAAUAUGCCCGGACGGCACCAUGAAGAACAAUCGGUGGGUCCCCUCACCCUCACUUUUCCUUUCGCUAGCUACAAGAAAAACCUCCUCUAGAUACGUUUUCUUUGCUACGUUUUUGAAAGCAUGUCUACAUGUUAAGCGGUUCCAGUACUAGAAACGUUUGUUGACACGUUAUCAAGAAAACGUAUACAUCUUCAGAGGUUUCACUACUAGAUAUGGUUGUUGACACAUUUUAAUCAAAACGUAUCUACAAAGUGCUUAACACGGUUCUUUAACACGUUUUAGAAUGCAUAAAAAUUUUCAUCGAGGCCUAAAGCGAGACCUUACAUGGGCUGGAUCGUGCAAAGUCUCAGCCCAUUAAAAUAACCCUACAGAUUAGUCUCUCACAUUGUCUCUCGUGUAAAAAAAAAACUGCACGAUCUCUCUCCCAUCCUCCUCAAGAUCACUGCCUAUUUCCGAGAUCCGGAGAGGGGCACCGUCCGGCUGGCUGCCGCUUCUUCAGGCCCGCUGACAGAUCCGUUGAUGGCAAAAGGACGGUCGCCAUCGGCCGCCGCCGCCGCCCACCGUCCAGGUCGUCAGCGCUGAUCCCUCCCUUAUUCCCCUCGCCGGCAGGCUCUUGCGAGGUGCCAUUGCAGCCAUCUUCACCACUGACUCAUCCACCAUUGACCCAGCACCUGUGUUCAGCUCCUCAUGGACACAAGGAUGGCUCCCUUCUAUAUGUCGCAGCAUUCAUCUCAGGCGCCAUGGCCCCGCGUCGACUCCAGCGUCUCUCAGUACAGAUCCCCUCGGUGAGCUUCCAAAGCAGAAGUAGAACUAGUAGUUGCUUGCUCUUGGAUCUUUUUCAGGAAUGCCACAUUUUUCUUUUGCAUUGUGUCAGACUGUUAAAGAUGAUUUAUCUGCCAAUAUCAUUGGCUGUGAAUUAAGUGUCAUAUAUAUUGAGUCAAUAAAUUUGCAGAUUUCAUACUUCACUGCCGCUGAUACCAUUGCUUUGAAAAGUUAUCAUAUAUGCUUAUAAAAAAUCAGUGCAUGGUACUAACUAUUUUCAAAAGUUUAGAUUGCUGCAUGUUUACAUAAGCAUAGCUGUUGUUCUGGCAGUAUUUGAUCAUCUACGAAUCACUGUCUUUGUGUUUUUAUUCAUUUUUCUUUUGAUGUACAUAUGACCUAAUUUAGUGUAGAUUACAGAUUGGCUUCUUACUCUCAUGCUAUAAUAUAUAUUCUAGAUUUCUAGUCAUAUGUCAUUACACGUUAUUAGUAGGUGUUGCACCCUGAUUUGUUUUUUGUUCUUGCAACUAGGAAUCCAAUAAAAUGGGGGCAACUAAUCAUGGUUUUUUCUAUGUUCGUUUCAUUUGUGCAUAGUGAAUUUUUCUACAAGCACAAAUUGAGAUCUUGGCCUUUUUUAUUUGUUACAAUUUUUGUUUAUUAAAGAGCACUGGAACUAGAUAGGACAGCACCUUUCAUUCAGUUGCAUAUAUAUGGAUUUGGUAGCUGCUGUUUUCUUUUUUUCGAGUUCAGUUGCAUAUAUAUUGAUUAAUGUUGCUUCAUGUAUUAAUUGGUAUUGGGACUGCAGAGUAGCCAAGCUUAACACAAUUAUUCAAAUGAUUGACGUCCACAGAAAACUAUCCACAAUGACAGGUGGAGUGUGCCUUGAGACACAACUUUUUCUUUCAGUGAGCUGGAGGUCACUGUACUACUAAAUACUAAGUAUAUUUAGUAUAGGCUUUUGGUACCUUCUUUUGUUUUAUGCAUGAACAUUUUUGCAUCUUCUCCAGUAUUAGUGAUGCUUGAUUUAAUUUGUUCUUGCAAAAUAAUUUGAUAUUACCUUAGAAACAAUGGUGUUUUUUCUUCUAAAUAUAUAAUGCUAUAACUGCCUUCAUGUAUCUUUCAUGAGAAAUCGAAUUUGACAUGUCAACUUGUGUGGCUUGAAGAUUAUUAAGAAAAAAUAAGUUGGCAAAGCAGCAGUCUAACUUCAAUGGAUGGGUUUUUGGUACUCUAUCACAACUUCAUAACCUCCCAAUUCACCUAUUGUAAUUGUUGCAUGGUAAUACAUCUAUAGAUACAACAACAGCUGCCCACAAGUUUGAGGGUGCGCCUGCCCACAAGUUGCAACUACAGAUGCAACUACAGCUGCCCACAAGUCUUGUUUUUCUAGUUUUAUGUUACAUGUUAAAUACUAUGAUGUGAUCAAUAAUUUAGCUCCAAUUUACUGAUUAUGGUCUUCAAAGUAGUUGGCACAGAUCUUGUUUACUACCUCAUGUUACCAAUCCUUUUUUGUUACAGCAUGCUGCAUCUUUGUUUGACAAUUCACUUGUUCUCUAGGGGUGUGAGAUCUGCAUAUACACAAUUAGUAGCUAUAUUACUGCUAGCUCCGAGCUACUGUGGUUUAGGAGAACAUCAAGUGUGAAAUCUUUUACAAUCCAAGAUAGGAUCCAAUGGCAGCGAAAGAAACUAGAGAGGUGAAAGGCAGCUUUUGCAAAGUCAUGUUCUACAGACUUAGCUGGUAGCUUACGUUCUGUAUUUGUUUAUCAUACCAUUUGUUUACCUUUUACAAUUUCCCGGUGUGCUAUAUUUGUAAUGAUACCUUAAUGUUUCGUACUGACAAGGAAAUUUUGCUUUCCAGUAGUGAGCAUAUAUCAAAUUAUUUUAGUCAUGAGUUCUUCAUGCUGAAUGUCUUUGUCCCUGGUGCAGUAUACUUUUAAUAUAUUCCUACACAAUACACUAAUUAUUGAGAAUGGGUAUAACAAAGAAGAAAUGAAAAUGACAAAGGAGACCAACAAAUUUGGGUUAGUCCUUAUGGUCCUAUUGGUCUAAAUAACUUCCUAUGAAGUCUGCAUUACUCUGUCAAACUUUUCUCUCAUUGUGAUAAUUUGAGAAAAUAUAAUUUCCUUCUAACUGUCUGGUCCAUUGCUACAAUGACAUGGAUGUGAAAGUAACUGCGACUUGCAUACAAGUUCCUGUGAUGUACUAAUGUGUCUGCACAUGCUGAAAGUGCCAAUCUACAGUUUGAAAAGCUACUCGAUGAGGUUGGUAUCUCCAUAUGUGCUAACUAGCAUUAAAACUUAUUCUCUUUUGUCUCUGUUUGCGCUAAGUGGAUUGAUCCUUGGAAUCUGCCACUUUGUCAUUUGGAUAUGUGAUUUUAUCUGAACUUGGCUAUUUGUGAAUAUGGCAGAAAAAUAAAUUGGUUAUAUUUGUGUUGUGGUAUAAUAUUGCAACUUCUAAGCUUGUGUGGCUGUGUGUAGAAUAAGUUAGGACUUAUGAGUAUAAUAUUGCAAUCAUUAAAAAAUAAACUUCACUUCUAUCGCUAGCUAAGUCUUUUUUUCUAAAUUCAACACAGAAAUAUGUGUGGUGUUGUAUUUUCUAGAACUUUUAUAGAAUUUAAUUAUUUAUUCAUUUUGCAGGAUCAUAGAAGCAUGUCAAUAAACAUAGGUAAAGAUUGAGAAUUGAAGAGAAGUGUCUGUCUGCUUGCGCAAAGCUUUUUAAAUAGAAUUAGAACACAACGUGUAAGUUUUAAGGGAAUAUGUAAUAUCUAGAUGUAUGGGGAUGAUUAAUUUUGUUGCUGACUCUAUUGCUCUAAUAUUAAAUGAAUACAUUUCAUGUACUUUUUUAUCCGUACUAUGGUGUCCAAAGUAAAUAUGGUUACACAUGUAUUAUAUUAGAAAAUAGUUCUAGAAACUAUAUUAGGAUUGAGAAAGAAAAAUACAAAGAGCGCAUCAACUUUGCUUAAUUUAAAAUGUCUCUAUAAGAUGUAGAUACGUAAUUCACCGUCUCUGCAAAGCGUUUCAUGUCUUCUACGAGACACGCUUAGCACUGUAUUUAGAAAAUGUCUCAUGUCGGGUAGACACGCUUGUCACCGUUUCUAGAAAGCGUCUCUUAUCUUGUAGACACGUUUGACAAAACUUGUUUACAGUUCUUGACACGGUCCAUGGAGAGACGCUCCAGACACGCUUUAGUGAAGCGUAUCUAUAAUUCACUAGAGAUGAAAUAAAGCGUAUCUAACCUAAAAAUAAAACGUAUCUAAGGGGAGUGUUUCUUGUAGGGGCUCUCUGCUUCCUUCGAUAGUCCGCGUUGAACACAACACGACUUGCACCACGCCUUCCUUCAUCAUAAAGCAACACAGAUGCCAUGAACCAAGCUGAUCUCGCCCCACAUGCCAUGCCAUCACCAUGCAGCAGCAUCAUGGAAACACCCUGUUGGACCUCGCCACCAGUAAGGCAUUCGACCCCUCCCUCAAUCAUCUCCCUACAACACCUCUGUUCCUGUUUAUUCUUCACGGGCACUGAACCGAUUAGAGAGCUCGAGGAGGUUGAGGUUGAGCUCCUUUUCUCCCAAGGAAAGCUGGAGCACUAGCCUUGACGCCCGUGUAGGAUGCGCUGCUUUCCCUCCCCUCCAUUCAACACUGCCUCGAGAACCUCACCUCACGAAUGAUUGGCCAUGCCAAGCAUGCCAUAGCCCUGUGGCCUGCAGGCAGUACCUAUCCCUUGCCUCGACUACAGAUGAGCCAGACUCCCCGCCCUCUCCUUCUUUGCCUAGAAACCGAGCUCCUAGAAACUUCAAAACCCUAGCCCUACGGCCACCCAAGGCCAACCCCAUCCGCGUCCUAUCUCACUUGGACAACACCAACACAGAACACCCUAGAUCUUCUCUCCCUGCUGGAGCCCUUCUCAUCAGUGGCAGUGCGCUCCAGCUGAACAUCGGCCAACGGCAUGACGCAAGGCAAAGCUGGUGCGGUGUCGCUGUCAAUGUGUGGGUCUAACCCAUGACACCAUUGGCCCAUUGUCAUACUCCUCAUUGACAUGACAAACUAGACCACCGACUCAGCACACCCCAUGGUCCAUGUCCCCUGGACCCAGUACACUGAAGAGUUUGCACGCAUAGCGACCCCAAGCGUCAAGCCGCCAACCCAAUAAGAUUUGCUAGUACACCAAGUAAAACACAUACACGAGUUUACCCAGAUCCUUUUACUUAUAUCCAAAAAUUUCCAUACUACAAUAUUAGAAUCUUAUCCAUGUAGUAAGUCCAUUCAAUGCCCAAUAAAUCAUAAACCCAAUUUCUUAGUUCCGAGGUAUUCGGAAAUAAUUUUCUUGUGUACACAAGAAAUUUAUACAAUCCUUUCUAAUUCCAAAUAUCCUAGGAAAAUUUUAAAAAUACCCAUCUAAGCCUAUUCAUACUAUACUAUCCCGCCUUUCACACCAUCUGAGCCCUUAUUACAAUAUGAUAUCUAGAAAAUUAUAUUAGAUACAUCUUAAUUCCAUGUCAUCUGUGCUCGAUCCACACAGUGAUGCCUACUUGAUCCUCAGCAUCAUGCCGCAGCUCAUGCCAGCUGCCGUUGCUCACAAACGGUGCAUAUAGCUUGGCCAAGGCCUUGAGCACAAUCCCUAUCACUCCUCCUACUCUUAACCCAACCACCACCCCGGGUCUAUGAAUAGAGCACCCACUAGUAGAGAACUCACCUUCCAUGCGCCCCAUUUUGUCCCGGUUUAAAGUUGGUCCGGGACAAAAGGUUCACCAACCGGGACUAAAGCUCGGUCACUGGUGGGGGGCUCACCAACCGGGACCUUUUAUCCCGGUUGCAAAGGCUAGUGGAAAAAAAAGACCCUGAGAGGCCUUUUAUCCCGGUUUGAAACACCAACCGGGAUAAAAGACCCCCUUUUAUCCCGGUUGGUAUUACAACCCUUUUAUCUCGAUUUGUAAUACCAACCGGGAUAAAAGGGGGGUCUUUUAUCCCGGUUGGUGUUUCAAACCGGGAUAAAAGGGUCCCCAACGGGAUGGCUGAAAGAGGAUGAAAUCCGUCGAACCCUUUUAUCCCGGUUUGUAAUACCAACCGGGAUAAAAGGGGGUCUUUUAUCCUGGUUGGUGUUUCCAACCGGGAUAAAAGGGUCCCCCACGAGUUAAUACAAAAUGAUUGCAUCCCCUAUAUAGUUAGAUGUGUUGUGUAGGUGGGAUGGCAAGGAAGCUACACGCGAGGCUGGAGGUGUUGUGGGUUCGAAUCCCACGUAGCGCGCACGCGCAUAUUUCGCGUGAAAAAUCGCGUGACUUGUGGCUUGCGAUGUGCGCGUGUGGGGGGCCCUCCUAGGAUUUUUUUUUGCAGCGCCUGGCAUGGUGACCUAUUUUAUCCCGGUUGGUAUUACCAGCCAGGAUAAAAGGGGGUCUUUAGUCCCAGUUGAGUGACCCGGGACAAAAAAACCCCCCCUUUUGUCCCGGUUGGUUUAUCCCGGUGGAUUUUCAGGAGAUUUGCAUCCUACCAAUCGGGACUAAUACCGAGUUCUCUACCAGUGACCGCGACCCUGCUUCCACCUCGUACUUCCACUCCAUUCUGCCUUACUCCUUGAACUGAGCUUCCAAGCCAUACCCCAUUGAGCCAAGUCUUGCUAGCUCAAGACCCUGAUUGAACCUCAUAAACAAGGCAAGCACCCCCAAGAACAACCCAUAACACUCCUCCCCUCUCUCACUUCUUAAGCCCACCUAGCCCCUCCUCCAGUCGAACAUCCGCUAAUGAGCCAAUCUCCACUGGCUCAAAGCCAAAGUUGAUGUCGGUGAGGAAUAGGUGAGAUUCACAACAUGCCAGAUCCACCGCUCUGAUUCGAGCCCCAUGACCAUAUCCAUUUGCUGCUCUUGUGCAUGAUCGUCAGCCUCUGACGGCACAUCGUCAGCCUCUGACGGCACAUCUUAAUCUUCUGAAGUUCCCUAAAAAUCUUAUAAAUCAGUAGGAUCGUGUCUAAACCAUUCUUAGAUCUAUCAGUCAUGUAUCAUGUAGUUCCUAGAUCUAAUCAUCAUAAAAGCCCCAUCAUCACAUAGUCAAUCUGAAAGAUUGCUAAAAUUAUCCUAACCAUGCUCGCCUUUCCUUUUUAAUAUCCCAAGAAACCUAUGAGUGAUUGUUUGCUUAUUUGGCUACUUCUUUCGAUGAUAGGCUAGAAAUACAUCCAAAGAAUAUGACAAGGUGAAGCGUCCAAGUAAAAUUACGAAUAGAGCAAGGCAUAAUUACAUGCAAGUCAUAAGCAUCCCCUUGAUCAUAUUUAUAUCCUAUUGAGUGAGAGUAAUUAAAUAUGCCGACAUCAAUUACUAUGUCAUAUUAUUGCAUAUUAUUUUCAAAAGUAUUAUCAUACACAAGUGAUAGUUAAUCUUAUUUUCUUGACUAAAAUGUUCCCUUGAUUGUUUGAAUAUCUAGUCCCUUGUAAUCCCAGGAGACUGUUGACGCGAAAAAUCGACCGGUGAUCCCUCGCGCGCCGCCCACGAAGGCCUGGAGAUCUGCUUCACUCUAGUGCAGGUCCUACGCUUCUUGAGGUUCGAGGCGUGCCAGUUAAUUUGACCAUUCAACUAACAAGGUCUGUGACGACGUUGUAUCAGCCAGUUAAUAGAACCACGAUGCUGAGCCGAUACAACGCUCGGUCAAAUAAGAUGUAUGACGGCCUGUCGGCUACAUGAUAGAAUCGAAGUGCAAUGAGCCCACGGCCGAUGGCCGAUGCAAGAAUUAAACAACAGCCAUUAAAGAUUCCUCAUUUAUCGUGCAUAGGCUAAUUAGACUAAUCAGAUCUAGUUAAUGUCAUGAGACGUAUAUUGAACUUGACAAGGGAAUACGGCUGAGAGGGCACCAACUAUGAUCCAUUAAUCUAAAAGCCUAUCACAUAACAACAAGGACCGCUUACAAGCCGUUUAAACCAAUCAGAUCUGAUUAAUCGUCAUGAGAUGUAUAUUGAACUUAGACAAGGUAAUACAUCUGAGAGGACAUUAAUUUCAAUCCAUUAAUAAAAACAAACUAGUAUGCAGUCGAUGACGUCAUCCUGCUAUCGAGAGAAACGGAUAAGACCUGACCGAAGCAUCGGCUCUCAAUGAUAGCAUUUUGAUGUUAAGGAUCUGAGGGCUAGCAAUACGAGGGGCCGAGAAUAAGAAACUACCGACUAUUGAAGCAUGUUCUGUUAAUCUCUUAAUAAUAUGGCAAUUAAAGCAAUGUAACAGAUCUAGAAGCACUAGUGGAAAUUGUAGCAACAAUUUUUGUCACCGUGAAGGCGAAAUUUGUCACAAAGAAUGUUUUGUGAUGAAUUUGUGAUGAAUUUCAGUUUGUCAAAAAUCGAGCAUCAAGUUUGUACAUCCGUGAUGAACUGACCAAAAAUGUGACAUAACUUGUUUUUUCUAUGGCGAUAAAACUUUCGUCAUGGAACCAUUUUUCCGUUCUAUGAUGUGUCGCAAAAAUGUCACUAAACUUCUGGAUCCAUGUGUCCCCAUCCACGCGGGCAGGUGAUGUGGCGCCAUCCACGCUAGCACGUGAUGUGGUCCGGACACGCUAGCACAUGACAUGGCUUCGUCCAAGCUGGCAUGUGACGUAUCGGCUAGCACGUGCGAAAAAAGGACAGCCACGUGGCUAGCUAGCGUAAGGCCACAUGUCGAGACGACGCAAGUCCACGUGUCAUUAUUAUAUUCAGCCACGUGUCGCACACUCGUAUGGACACGUGUGGUCUUUUCAUUGGUCCAUGUGUCAUUUUCUUACGUGACCACGUGUCAUUUUCCCAUUUGUCCACGUGUCAUUUUCCAGUUUGCCCAAGUGUCCUUGCCCGAGUUGUCCACGUGUCAUUUUCCUAUUGGUCCACAUAUCUUUUUUCUACAGUUCCACGUGUCAAUUCCUUAGUGUUCCACAUGUCAUUUUACUAUUGGUCCACGUAUCAUUUCACGGCUGCUAUGAUACACGGCUGCUCCGCAUGUCAUUUUCUUAUUGGUCCACGUGUCAAUUUCUGAUCAGUCCACGUUUCCAUUUCUGUUUAUGACACGUGGUCUUUUCUGAUUGGUCCACAUGUCAGUUCCCCAUUAGUACACGUGUCAGUUUCUUAUUGAACCAUGUGUCAUUUCUGUAUGUUACACGUGUCCUUUUCUGUUCAUAUAGAUCCAUUUCAUCAUAGAACACCAAAUGAUACAGCAUAAUUCACAGAAAGUUCACUAUAAUUAAGUUACAACCAGUUCAAGGCACCACCAUUAGUUAACUGACAGUUCAGAGCCACAUAAGUUCAUAACAGAAGCACCAGAGGUCAUGAAGGAAUUCCAAGUAGUGCUGACAAUAGUUCCACACAGAUAGGAUCAGGGCUGAGAAGAGGUACCAGGGAUGUUCAAGUUCAAGAUCUUCAUAAGGAUGACAUUGCUCUCAUCUUGUUGCUUCUUAAGCUCCUCAUACUACCAUUGACUUCUCGCCAGCGGUUCCUCUGCUGCUUCAAUCUUCUUCUUUAGUUCUUCCACUUAUUGAUGUAGAACAGCUGAACCUUGUUUUUCAGAAGCAAGUUCUUGACGAAGUGCUUUUUUACCAGCUGACUGAUACUUGGAGGAGGUUGUAGGUAUUCCAGCAUUCUUCAAGAAUGUGGUGUUGGAGUUGUUCUGCGAGAGAACCUUGGAAACCAUAUCAGCACUAAGCAAUGGUGGCUACCCAUCAGCAACAAGUUCUGCCCUCAUAGUUUCCAUUUGACACCUAUAAAAUGUAAAUAUGAACUGUUAAUAUACUGAUUAUAGUAAAAAAGGUUUAUAUUAAACAAACUAGGAAAAAAGCAGAUUGGAUAACUACUACUAAAUAGUGUUAAUAUAACACACCACUAAAAGAUAGGGGCGACCAUGAAUGUUACAACUAUAUGAUGCAGCAUGUACAGAGAAGUGUUGGAGAAAGAAGGACACAAGUCUGGAAGAAGGAUUUGAUAAAUGGUUUAAGAAUCAUGUAAGUUAAUGGCAUAUUAUCAUUUAUGGAAGUAAUUGAUGUAACAAUACACUCAACUUUAUAUUUUUGGUUGUAGAUUGUGAAGCUGCAUAUAUAAAGAGAAACCUAAUAAAGACGGACAUAAUUGUAGGAAAAUAUGUGUAUUAUAGGGAUGUAGGUAAAAUGACCAUAUAGAGAUUCAAUGUCGGUACUAACUUGUUCAGCAUGGCAAGCAAUAGAAAUUAAAAUUCUAAAUGUCCAGCAAAUUAGCUAAUUCUUGGAAAAGAAAAUAAGCAUGUACAGGGACUUACAACAGCUUCUCUAGCCGUAUCACUCAUACCCUUCUUGCGGCUGGUAUGGCAGACCUUGAAGUCUUUGACUGCAUUGAUUUAUUUGUCAGCUUCAUCAACUUGUUCCUGGGGUUCAUCCUCGUUGACUUCAGCGGGUACUUCAUCCUUGUUCUUCUUGUACUGAUGUACCAAAAUGGAGGUUAGGCAAACAGCAAAACCACUUAACUCAUUCAAGAAAGCAAAACAAUGAAAAGGGAGCAUUAGAAAACUAUUGACACUUACAUAUGAAUGUAAUUGUGCAAUGUAGCAGCGAGAUCCUGUUGCUUGAGGCCACCUGACUCUAGCCCGGUUUCACUUGUUCUGAUCAGAAAUUGCCUGCAAGACAUGUAUGAGUUAGUCUCCAUCACAAGUAUAUACUUGAAAGCACACCAAGAGAAAUUACCUUAUUGUGUGCAGUUGACCACUUGUCAACAAGUUUACACCACUGUGCAUUAGUCAUGUAGGAGACAAGAGAGGUUGUGGGUAUCUCAUUAGCAGGGACGCCAACAAAGUGUUCUUGCUUCAACUUAUACCGCCUCUGCCGUGUCCCAGACUUGAAUACACUGACACAAGCAUUCGUUGUUGCCUUGUCCCUUCUGUCAAUUGCUAACCUCCCCUAGUGAUUAGAAUUGAAAUCCAGUUACACAAGGGCCAUACAGAGUUGAAUGUAAAAUAGGGAGUAGUAUAUAGGCACUCAUAGAUAGGCUUCCCACGAAGCCCUCAAAAUGUUUAGUCUCUUCCUUGUAGUCUUUCCAAUGGGGAAAGAUAGGAACUUGGGACCUAACAAUAACACCAGCCUCUGAUGCAAACUUGGUUGCUUGCACCGAUUCAUACGGCCUAGUGUUCCCCUCAACAACAGAGAUGGGUAUCCUUCUCCCUAUAGCUUUGGUCAUCUUGUCAAGCAAAAUUCCCCUGAUUGGUGGCCUCGCGUUCCUCGAGCCAACUCUUUGUGUAGGUGCUGCAGAGAUUUUAUUCAAUUUCUCAUUAUUCAUCAAAUAUAAAACCAUUAGUGCGAAAAAGCUUGAGGGUCAACGAACCAACCUUCAGUUCUGGACUCCGACUGCCCUGAGUCGUUAUUCCAACCGGUCUCAACUUUGUUGAGGUCAGGAGCAUCAUCACGAUCUUCAUCAUAUUCAUAUGACCAGUCCCUCAGAGGACGUGAAUGAUUGUUCACAUUGUCAUCACCGCUAGUGUUUUCUACAACUACUAGCAAUUCUUGCUGCACAACAUUGUCAUCACCACUAGUGUAUUCUGCAACUUGUGGUAAUUCUUCCUGCACAGGCUUUUCACAUGGUGCUGAUGUUUGCAGCCUUUUCAGUAACCUUGUUGAAGCUCCAGGAGUAACCUCUGUUGGUGGGAUUGACCUCACCCUCUUGGAAUGUCUACCUCCAGGAGCCAUGGCACCACUUGUUUUCCUCUUGUUCACACAGACCUUCCUACGCCCAGUCCGCACAGGGCCCUGCAGAUUUCAAAAAGUAGAAGUUGUAAGCAUGUGAACAAAUUAGAAGCACUUCUAAGCUUUGGAAAUAUCAAGUGCUCCUUCUAUGCAUUGUAAAUAUCUAGUGCUCCUUCUAAGCAUCCCCAACCCACCUCAAUUGCUAGGGGUAUCGGCAUCUCUUCUAAGUUUGUAUUAUCAGGCUCUUCAAGUUCAGGGAUGGAAUCUGAUAAAUCAAAACCUUCACCACGACAAGCAUGCCUGCCAGACCUUUCCCUCUUCCUGCCUAAACUUCCCCCUUUGAAGUUGUUUUCUCUUAACAAUGAAUUAAGAGCUAAUGAUAAACCACUAUUGCCAAAUUCUUCGAUUCUUCUUAAAUUCUUCCUGAUAGUUUCUUCAUGUUCUCUUUCAUAUUCAUUUUGUGAAGGUUCUAACAUAUUCGUGACUAGAAUUAGAAUACGGAUACCACUACAUCCUCCAACCUCGAACCAUGGAUGAAUGUGCCACUACCUAGAACCACAGAAGGUAGAUGAAUUUUGCAUACCUCUUGCUACAGGGCAUCGGCAUCUAACCAUUUUCAAUCAUCGGGUAGCUGCUCAUCGAAGAUGGUGAGGCUGCUAUGAUGCGGCAAUCGUCAUCAACAUUGUAGCAAAUCUGGUGUGACGAGCGUUGUCGAAGGGGUAGCAGAUCCGGUACGGUAGUUGUCGUCGAUGGGGUAGUAGAGUUGAAGGGGUAGUAGAUCCGGUGCGACGGUUGUCGUCGACGGGGUAGCAGAUCCGGUGCGGCGGUAAUCAUCGACGGGGAAGCAGAUCUAGUGCGGUGGUGACGGGGAUGCAGCUCUGGUGCGCUCAGCGUCGUCGACGAGGUUGAAGCUCUGGCGUGGUGGCCUUCGGUGCAUUGGAGGGGUCGAGUGUCGGCGCGUUGGAGCCUAUCGGCGUAGAGGUGAAUGGCGAGAAGUGGCCGGGAAAGGCGAGAGGUGGAGGUAGAUCUGAGUGAAGGGAUAGAGAAGGGGCAAGGGAUAUGGGGUGCUGGGGAAGAUUGUCACAAGUAUCCCUGAUGGACGGGUUAGUGGUGUGGCAAUUGCUUGAGAGUACAAGGGACAUUUCACGAGAAAUGUUUUUGACCAUUGUAUUGAACUCUCCUUGGCCGAAAUGAAAAGGAAUGAAUCCUUUUUAGCUGCUGCUGCAUACUUUUGGUCCGAUGCCCUCAAUGCCUUUAUGUUUGGAAAUGGUCCGAUGGCGCCAAGUCUUCUCGAUGUAUAUAUGCUGACAGGCCUUGACAUUACUUCUCCAGUCUGCCCUUUUGAUCCAAAAACCACCACCAAGCAGAAACUGGAAACCAAGAACAUUGGUGGCUGGGCCAAAUACGUAUCCAUUUAUAUCAAGAUAUCAGAACAUGUUGAUGAUAGAGAACACACAACCUUUCUUAAUCUUUGGUUGCAGAAAUUUGUUUUCUGCGGAUCAACUCUCAGCCCAACAACAAACUUGCAAUCCAUAGCAGAAUUGUUGGUGACUCAUCAUGCUAUCCCCUUGGGAAAGUACUUGUUAGGUGUUGUAUACCUUCUGAUGCAUCAGGUCACCAUGAAAUUUCUGGCGGGCUAGCCCGUCGGCCGUAUAGGCCAUCCUUGGUGGUUUGUCCAAUUAUGGCUUGACAUCUACACUUCAUUGGCUCUGGAGAGGGAUCUCACCAAGAGCACUUUCCCAAGUAAUUAUGUUGAAGAUGCUCAAGCUAUCCAUCACCGCUGCACUUCUCUGGUGAAGCAGCAUCAACUUUCCCUAGGGGUCCUCUGUUAGCGUCAACCACGGCUUAGCUCUUCAAGGACUUCUACCAUGGAUUCUCAUCAGAGAAAACCAUCUGGUUUGCAUACAAAGAUAAAACAGCCAGCUUCGAGUUCCCAACCAAUAUGGAUUUUGACCAAGUAGGCACUGACGAGCGUAGCACAGUCCUGCUCUUGUCAUCAAUUUCUCCUUGCAUACUCCUUGUUGGCUUUACUCAUGGUCGGGUUCAAAGCCCUUCAUAUGAAUUUUACCAUUCGUCGGUAUUUGCCCGCCAACUUGGAUUUGAUCAGGUCCCAAUCGGCCUAUUCUUCAUGGAAAAAGUGAAAGCGAGAGAUCCCAUAAAUAAUCGUACUGAGUUUGAUAUGCUGAGGAAUCUAACUUCUAUAUUGCCUUCUGUUGUCUUAUUGGAAUGGAAAUGCAUCAACGGCUAUGCCUUUAGACUCUUUGUCCGAUGGUGGAAAGAAUGGAAAGAACAUUUGUCUAACCGAUCUGCUAAGCAUUACUGGAAAAGGCUUGAUCCUAAAUAUGGAUCGGACAAGGUGGUAAUAUUUUUUCCAUAGUGUUUUAAUCUUCAUUCACUCUUUAAAAAUCCUUAACCCUAUUGCUUUGCACCAGGAAUCAGACGAUGAAAUAGAAACGCCUGCUGAAAGUGAUAGCAGCCUGCCGAUUGCUUAUGGUCCGCCUGCUCCCUAUCCCAUCAUAGGAGCUGAUACCCCCAAGUCUCUAACAUGCUUAAGGGCCCAAUCACUGGUAAACGCAAGCCGGUGCAGAAGCAAUCAAGCCGGAAGCAAAGAAAAACAUCGGAACCUCUGUUACAAAUUGAAGCUCCAUCGGUAUCAGCAUUAUAGAUCAAGCUUCUUUACAUUGCCUCUUCCUUUCUUUGUUUACAUAACAUUUUCCACCUUACUCAGGCAUUGCAAAUAGACUCCCUAGCUCCAGAAAUCCCAUCGGUAGAAGAAACUCCAGUAGACUGGAUCACGCCGACAGGAUUAGAACUGGAAUUAGAUGAAGAAGUGAUGAAGGAACCAUCGAUGGUAUGCCUUCACUAUCUUGAUAUCCUUCUGUAGUUAUAUUCUCAACAAUCUGUUCCUACAAGCUGCUCCAUUGACUUCAGCCACGGCAUCAGCAUCGAUAUCGGCAUCACCAUUGGCUUUAGCAGCUGGUGAGGAACACUUUGAGGAUAUCCAGGAACCAACUCAUCAGCUGACACGACCACCGUCACCGAUCCAGGUCAUUAACUUGACAUUAUUUGAACUCAAAUCCAAGAAUUAUAAAUUUAUAUAUCAACUCUUAUUCUUUUUGCAGGACUUACCAUCAGCUGAUGAGGGUCCAGUCAAUGAAACACAGGUCACCUCAUCGGCCAUGGAGAUACCAGAAGAUCCUAUUGGCUCAUCUCAAAGGACACCAGCUGAUGAGAACAAUCCACAAGUUGAAGUCCACCAACAAAGACAGAUUCCAAUACAUGUAUAAAAAUUUUCAUUGAACAACAUACCCAGUUAACUACUCCAUCAAUAUUUUGACCGGACUUACUUUGCACAGUCUAAAGAAUCAUCAGCGUCGGCCUUGUUCUUAUUCGAUGUUCAAGAAUAUGCUUAUGAAGAAGAAAUCAGGUCGGCCUGUCAAGCACCAUCAGCUCCAUCAGAUAUUAAAGGUCAAUUGGCAGCCAUUAUACGUUUUCUUCAAUAAGACACAUCUGUGAUCCUGGAGGAUGCUGAGCCAAUUUAGAAGUUAUACAAGCAAAUCAGAACCCAACUGUCUUCAGAAUUGGCAUCAGCCCUAAGUCCUACAACAUUUAUUGAAUCACACUUCUUCCAGGUCCUGGCAGCGCGACAACGCAUCGCUGAUCGGCAAGCCAACCAACAAGCUAUGACUUAGCUAGAAGUCGAUCGGCUAAAAACCAAGGAAUUGAAGUAGCAAGUCAAUGAGUUAGCUACCUCUGCUUCUGCUGCAGAGCAAAAUCUAAACGAGCUGGAGGCCAAGCGGGAUCGGCUAAUGCGUGAGCUGGAGCAGGUAAACCAAGACAUCAAAGUGGCCAAGGGCCAAAUCGCCAAAUACCCUGCUGCACUCCAAGAAAAGAAGAAGGAACUAGCUAAGUCAACAAACCAGAGCCGCCAUCAUCAUCGAACCAUCAACAAGAUUCCAGGGUUUGAUGAAGAAGACCUUCAAUUGAUAGCUGAUGUCGAUCAGAUCCGCCUGCACGCGGUACAUGCCAUUGAAAAGGCCUUGCAAGAAAAUAAUUAAUUCACCAUCGGCUUGUAUAUAACCUUUGCACACUUUUCUUAUUCCUAGCCAAAAUUAAUACUUUAAUAUCAUCCGUACUUUAUAUAUUUUCUCUAUUUUUUGUUCUAAAGGCGAUAUCAAUUGAUAUUGGCUAUCUCAAGGUGAAGAUUACAAAUCAUCAGCUUUUACUACCAAUUAGCUCUGAUCCAUGUUUACAAGAUCAGCCGACGCUAUACUCUUGUUUCAAGACUCAUCUUUCGAUGAGAGGUGUGGGAUAACUCAAUUCGUCGAUUGGUCACUAGGGUUCAUAUCAGUUGGUAUCAGAGCUGCAGUCUGAAUCCAGCCCCAAAACGUGUUGGAUUGGAACUCUUUCUUUUCUUGGGCCAAAAGUGACGUGGUGGCCUGGUGGAUGUUGGGAAUACUUGGACUUGGUCCCCAAUCUACUUCUUUGGUCCUCCAUGCCUUACAUGUGCGUUUAACACUAUUUUUGAUCCACGUAUGUAUUUCUGAAAUUUACAACGAACACACAUCAUGGUGCAUUAUCAAUUCAUCAAAUGUAUCAAAUACAAUCAUGGUAAAGAAUUGUUUCACCUGUGAAUCAAAAAUUACUAAUGUGGUUGUAUCCGAGCAGGUGAUGUCCUCAUCAGCCAGCGAGGAUCAAACCAAUGAUACUUCGGAUUGGAGGAGUUGACCAUGGACAAGCUGUCCGAUGUGCGCAAGCAAGAAGUGGAACAAGCCAUUGAACGAUAUAGAGCAGAAUGCCUCAAGACAUAUGGGUGGAAGCGAUCAGGCACAUACAAAAAGGCAGAACUGUUGUUGCCGCUGGCACCAUCCAAGGGCAAGCAAGAUACAACUGAAGAGGAAGAGGCUGAGUUCCAGUCCAGGGUCAACACUGCAGUCAACAAUACUUUUGUAAGCCAGAUUUGAGUAUUGGGGUAUGAAAUUCAAAGAUGAUCAUGCAGCUCGUAGAGCAUCACAUCUCCCGUGAGCCGUGGAGGAAUUAUGUGGCAAAUACGUCUGGCAACAGGGUGGCGCAUCAGGAUCAGCUCCAAGACAGCCGACAGGCCAAUUUGUGGCAAGUUAGGUUAUUGGGCAGCCGAUAGGAUAGUUCAAUACAAGGCCACACUCUGGGCAGCCGACAAGACAAUUUGCGGCAGGUCCAUCUUCUGGCCAGCCGAUGAAUCAGUUUGGGGGAGGUCCUGUUCCUGUUCAUACGGCGAAUUAAUAUUCGACACCACCAAACCACAGUACACACAGGAACGUGGAUUUCACAGUUCAACGUUGUAUGAAAAGAAAAAAGAGUUGACAGCACACGAUUCGACUGAACUUGCUGUUUAAUUGAGAACAACACAUUCAAUUUUUUCUCUAGACUUGCUGCUUUCAGUGAAAGCAUUCAAUUCAAGUCUGGGAAAAAAAAUGACGAGCACGGGAAUCAUUAAAGGACAGAUCACAUCACCUCAACUUAAGAGUAGCAAAGCUCGUAAUCGCUCUUGCAAGUUCAUCUUCGUGCUCGUUGACCAGCCAGGACUACGCCUCUUGAGGUAGCCAGCGUUAUUGGAGAGAGGCCACCACCUGUCUAAGCCCCUUCCUCGCCCCCACAGUGCCUACCACCGCACCCACGCUGCGGUGAACAGGAGGUAGAAGCCGCUUCAUGCUAGGGAUGGAGCUCGACGCCGGGAUGGAGGUAGAUGUCGUAGCCAGGGAUGUGAGCCGUCGCUGGAUUGGAUCCAGUCGCCGCCACCACGCUCGUUGGGGUCUGCCGCCGCAGAUCUGCCACGGCAGCGCGGCAUGAGCUCCACCGCCCGGGAGGAUGGGCGAGAUGCCGCAAGGGGGAGGUGGUCCCACGAGGAAGGAGGAGGGGGGUGAUGAGGAUAUCACCUGCUCGGAUACAACCACAUUAGUAACUUUUGAUUCACAGGUGAAAUAAUUCUUUACCAUGAUUGUAUUUGAUACAUUUGAUGAAUUGAUGUUGCACCAUGAUGUGUGUUCGUUGUCAAUUUCAGAAAUACAUACGUGGAUAAAAAAAUAGUGUUAAACACAUAUGGAAGGCAUGGAGGACUAAAGAAGUAGAUUGGGGACCAAGUUCAAGUAUUCCCAACGUCCUCCACCAGGCCACCACAUCACUUUUGGCCCAAGGAAAGAAAGAAUUCCCGUCCAACAUGUUUUGGGGCUGGAUUCGGACUGCAGCUCUGUGCCAACUUGCAAUAGCUGCCACAACCUCAUCCGGACUCCAUUUUAGGCGUUCAAGUACUCCUUGGAAUCCUUAUGAAGUCUAUUUUCAGAUAGAUCUAGACUCAUAUACAUAUGUAUUCUGAGUCAGCUGCAAUCACCGAAAUACUACCGAGAGGUUUUCUGUCCAGAGGUGCUGCGUCGCCUUAUUUUGGCCCAAUGGGCCGUGUAUCAAGUGAGGUCCAUUAGGAACAUGUUCUAGGGUUGGAGCAUGACCCCAACACCCCCUGGUCAUUCUCCUAGCUAUUAAUAAGGAUUAGAGCUGCCACAAACAGAUUGGGUUUUGUUUAGAUCAAGUUUAGCUCUCGCUACUUGCUUGUAAGCGCGCAUGCUGGAUCAGCCGCUCGUCUUCCUAUCUUCGGAACCCCACCUUAUUGAGAUUGAGUUGGAAACCUUCAUCUUCAUCUAGUAAAUUCAGUACUUGUUAUAUUUGUUCUUGCUAGUUCUUCGAUUGCUUGCAGGACGAGUGCCCUAGUGGCCGGGUGACGCGCUUCACAAGAUCGUGGCAGCCAUUGGAGGUGGUGUAUCGGUUGCUAAGGCGCAGCUUGGAAGGCUAUAGCCGGGCCGUGAACGUCAUCUCCAUUGACCUAUCGAGUUAUCCCACACCUCUCAUCGAAAGAUCGGGAAUCAACCCUAGCGGGUUCAUAUCACUAGCCAUUUGAUUAAAAUCCAAGCAAUGACGAGCGCUAAUGAUGUUGUUGUUGUGGUCCCACUGGACGUGUCAAAAAUGUGUUGAUGCAAAAUCUGGACUUCAGACCCUACAUUGGCAACACAUGAGGAACCGCAAGAUUUGCUUCACUCUAAUAUAGGCUCUAAAUCAGCUUGAAAAGGUAUACGAUGUGCCAGUCAAUUUAACCUGCAAUUGACAAGGGAAAGCUUGAUGAACGUUCCUAAGCCGAUCAGCUGUGAAGCCUAUGAGCUUGAGCAUGGUGUUACUUUGAAUAAUGUUAUAAACAUGCAUUUAAUGUGAUCAUAAAAUUCAGCAUGUAAAAAUAAAUUCAAUGGCAUGUGCCAUCGGCUAUAAGAGCUGACGGGCUAAGAUAGAUCUAAUGUGAAUAUAACAGCCAUUUAAAGAUAACUUGUUUAUUACAGUCAAGCUGAUUAAACCAUUAAUUUAAUUAAUGUCACGAGCCAAUGGAUCAGAUUUGAUUGAGACACCAUGGCAUCGUAGGGCAUUAACUCACUCCUUUAGUUUAAAAGACUAGAAAGUAAUAACAAGACCUCAUGGACAUAGCCAUCAGCUCAAUGGCAUCGGCGUGCCAAAAAUGUGUUGAUGCAAAAUCUGGACUUCAAACCCUAUGUCAGCAACACGUGAGGACCUGAGUGAUUUGCUUUACUCCAGUGCAGGCUCCAAAUCAGCUUGCAAAGGUGUACGGCGUGCCAAUCAAUUUAACAUGCAAUUGACAAGGGAAAGCUUGAUGAACAUUAAAUUUCUAAGCCGAUCAUCUGUGAAGCCUACGAGCUCGAGCAUGGUGUUACUUUGAAUAAACACCGCUAUAAACAUGCAUUUAAUGUGAUCAUAAAAUUCAAUAUGUAAAGAUAAAUUCAAUGGCGCGUGCCAUCGGCUAUAAGAGCCGACGGGCUAAGAUAGAUCUAAUGUGAAAUAUAAUAGCCAUUAAAAGAUAACUUGUCUAUUUCAUUCAAGCCGAUUGAACCAUUAAAGUUAAUUAAUGUCACGAGUCGAUGGAUCAGACUGAACCGAGAGAGUAUGGCAUCACAGGGCAUUAACUCAGUCCUUUAGCUUAAAAGACUAGAAAGUAAUAACAAGACCUUGUGCACAUAGCCAUUGGCUCAAUGGCAUUGGACUACUACCGCGAUGGAUGGAUCAGACCGAACCAAGAUAUCAUCUGCUCGCAAGUAGUAGGCUGAUACUAAAGAUCUGAAAACUAGUAACACAAGGGGAGAGGUUAACCAUCAAUCCGAUGAUGUCAUCCUACUCAUGAGAUAGACGGAUCGAACCUAAUCGAGACAACAUCGGCUCCACAACAAUAGUUUAACUUUAAAGAUUUGAAAGCUAACAACACGAAGGCAAGGGUAAAGAUCUAUCGGAUCUAGUAAAGAUGAAGCAAUUAAAGCAUGCAAGAACAAACUAGCCAAUACGAUCGGAUAAAUUGUGAGGCUUAAAACAAUUAAGAGAUCGAUCAGAUGACUAACUUAAUUAAAUCAAGAAAACUCGAUAACUAGUGAGCGUCUAAUUAAGAGAUUGAUACAAUGCAGCCUUAGUUAGAUCAUACAACUCGAUAACUAGCCUUACGAUAAAAGGAUCAAAAUAUAAGACUUAGCUGAGAAAGUUUUGAUACAGAUAACGUAAUGACCGAUAGUGACAGAACUUACAAGCUCGCCAGAGUUCGAUGUUGAUGCAGCCCUGCUCGCUAGAAGAAUCUCGCCGGAUUCUACUCUACUCCUACACCUAGGGUUUGGCGGUGUGGCGUCGAAAAAGAAGAACUGUUGAAUUGAUUUGAUUGUGUUUUCAAUUACAAUGCCCUAGUUUAUAUUUAUACCCUAGAGCAAGCUAAAGUCCUAGUCGAUUACGACAUAAGUUGUUACAAUAAUUCUAAAAUCUAUCUAAGAUACACCUCCACGCUUUUCCUUAUUUGGCGGAGUCAUUUCUGUCUCAGACUUUGCUAGCUCCAUCGGCUCUAAGACUCUAUUUUCCGUGGUUGACCCUGAUCAAAAAUGGGUGUCAACACUCCUGUACCUAAAAGCUGCCUCAGAACAGAUAAUAACUGGGCAUUGAAGACCUACAGAUCAAAAGAACUUGCUUGGUCUUUGUCUUCUGUGUAACUGUGUUCAACACGCCAAGUGCAUUUGAUGGUAAUAGUUCAACAUUAUUAUUGCAAAAUUCUGCAUUUAGAAUAAUAAAGCGGAAAUAACUAAAAUAAGGCAAAGAAUAUUUGACCAAAUUGAAAAGGAAUCCCUGAGCAAUGGCAGCAACUCUUGAAUGCUUUCUUCUGAUCAUGUGACCCUGCUCCGGCGCCUUUCAGUGACAAGGCCAUGUUUUCAAUCCAUAGCUUCGUAGUCCUACUGCCAUGUAUGAAGUUGAACUGUUGGUUGAUUGGGAUGUAUAUUGGUUGCGUUCCUGAUGGCGGUCUCCGCAACCAAUAUGUCCACGUUUGUAGCGCAAGUAGUAACAAUAACCACAACGACAUGUUGGAGGCUUGCAAUGUGCUUGAGACCAAACCUAUAAAUUUGGACAUAUCAUGGAUAACUUUCCGAUAUGAUUUCAAUUUGGAUAUCUAGUGCAUGUCAUUUCUUUAAAAACCACGACUGCUUGAAUAUUUCAUAACUCUUUUCUCCAUAUUUAGUGUUUGAGGCAGGAGGAUAGAAACAACUUAUGUGGAUACUACUGUUGUGAGUUCAUCCACGGCAUUGUAGGUCCCAAGAAAGGCAAGGACCGUCAACACCAAGUACGUAAACACAAUUCAUAUCAAUUUCAAUAUUUUUCAAUCUGCACAUAUAUUGGUUUAAAAUGAUGAUGUUAAUUUGCACAUGACAGAUUGCUAAAAUGAGAAAAGAUCUCAUCACCCCAGAACGACUCAUGGCAAUUCAAGAAUAACUAUGUGGAUUCCUUUUGGAAGAGGUCGUAAAUCUAAAGGGAGAAUUGUGUUACGAUGGAACAAGUGUGAGUCAACUUCAUCCAAUCAGGGACUCGGAUGACGACGCGUAGUGCAUAUUCGGAAAACUUGUAAUAUUUGAAGUGUAUAUAAAUUAUAUAAAUAUAAUAUAUGUAGACUUUACUAUAUGCUAGAUCAAUAUAAAUAUAUAUAUAUAUUAGUGUAAUAUUACUACUAUAUGCAAAUGGAUAUUCUACACUAAUACGAAUACUAACCAACCCACGAAUUAAAAUGAAAGGAAAAAAAAGGAAUAACCAUUUAGUACUGGUCUCACAGUUUAGUACCGGUUAGUACUACCGACCGGUAUUUAGUAUCGAACAAGCGGUACCGAUCAGGCGCGCGGUACUAAAGUGAGGUUACUGACCGAUACAAAAGGUUACUGACCGAUACAAAAGUUAGUUCUCCAGCAGUGCGGAGCAGUAUUUGUACCAUCCUGUAGUUAGCACUAGUAGUGAUACGUUAGCAUGGUUAUACUUUCAAACCGUUGUGUGUAUCUAAAUAUCCGUGUCAGCUAUAGUUUAACACCAGGCAGUGGUAGAGAUUAUUCGUGCUGGCUAAUUAACCGGGAGUGAAAUGCACCAACGGUACACGGUGGGUGUCAUCUAGAUCCCCGAACUCUCAAAAUGCAUAUUGGAGUCCUUAAACUUGCUAAUUGGUUCACACGAGGUCCAAAUCUCCAUGACACGCGUUAAACUGCAUAUCUGGCAGGCUGACUAGACGACGAAGGGGACCUGACAUGUGGGGUAUGCAUGUCAACCCAACCUCCCUUCUCCAUCCACCCAUGCCGACCUGCAGCUCCGGCCGUCGGCUGCUCAUGCCAGCCUCGUCCUCCACCUGCUACCACAGGGCCGUGGCUGCCGCCACCAUCCGCCCGUGCUGGUCCGCGGUCCCGGCCAUCGUCCGCUCCUGCCGGACCGCCACCGUUUGCCUGUGCAGGGCCACUUGUGCACGAUGUCGCCCAAAGGACAAGGCUAGCCCCAGCGUCGGAGUUGCCAUGAGGCACGUCGCCUCUUCCCAAAGCUUGAGGCACACUGCUCGGGUCUGCCCCCACUACUGCAUCCCGAAGCUUCGCUAAGACGCACCACAUGGGACUCGUCCCCGCUGCGUCGUUCGGAGCUGCCAUCAAGCCCGCUCCUCCCAAGUCCCGAGACAUCCCGGAGCUCCGCCAAGACACACCGCUCGGGGCUUGCCCCCGCCGCGCCGCUCGGUCCUCACCGUCAUCUCAUGCUACAUUGCGGACGCUGCCAAUAUCGCCGGAACCGGAAGUUCGCGGAGCAAUCAUUCUCCUACCUCUUCUCCUUUCCUGUUGCUCUCUCUCUUCUCUGCUCCAGUCCUCAGCCCAACACCUUACCUUUCAACCUCCCGUGAUGGAUGCGCGGCCGGCGGUGGGGCUCAAAGGCAUGCCCGCGACGCCGCUUGCCCAUGGUCCUACCCCACCAGAGCGCCCGCGAGAUUGCCUACCGCUGCAUAACGUCAAUCAAUCGAUUUGUUAAAAUGAGUUGCGCAACUACUUACUUGCCGCUGCCGUUUGUGUCCAAGAUUCGAUUUAUGCGCUGCCGUUUGUGUCCAAGAUUCGAUUUAUGCAAGCAACGCUGAUUGGUCAAAGGAUUAGAAAUAAUUGUGUCCAUUUCAAUCUUUGGAUGAAACAGGAGGGGUGUUAACCUCUGCUGGCUAUAUAUUAAAAUAAAAAGAAAGGGUGUUAACCUCUGCUGGCUAUAUAUUAAAAUAAAAAGAAAGGGUGUUAACCUCUGCUGGCUAUAUAUUAAAAUAAAAAGAAAGUUCAUAUAUACGUAUCAAGAGACAUGGAAGGAAAAGAAGAAAAUCAGAAAAAUUACAAGGCUCGCUCUAGCCAAUCCUGCAUUUGGAUUUUCCAUGGAUGUUUUACUCGUAGUAUAACCUAGGUAAACACCACCUUAAAGCGUGAAAGUGCUCCUUGCACUGAGGGAGUAAUACCUUUAAAAAUAAAAUCAUUUCUAGCCAUCCAAAUACACUAACACAUGAGGAUGAUGAUUUCCAUUGAGAACUUGACUAGUAACUGUGUCUUGAAGCUGCUGAGGAUAUCAAACGGCUCAUCUAACAAAUUUGGAAAGAGACAUAAGUGGAUCCAACAUUCUUGAGCAAAUGAGCAUUCCAACAUAAGAUGAAACAAGGUCUCUUCGCCGUUACAAGUACAUAAAACACAUGAAUAUGAGGGUAGGAUCAUCCGUUUAUGUCGAAGGACAUUCCUUGUACUUAACCGGUCAUUGAGUAUUAACCAAAAGAAGACUUUGUGUUUGUUCUGACAUCUUGAUUUCCAAAGCCACUUAAAAACUGGAUGUAUCUGUUGAUGUCCUGUCAGUGUCAUGUAUGCUUUCGCUGAUGAGAAAUGUGAGUUACCCCUUUGAUUUUGCGGAUCAUUGCUUGGAUUUUUCCCCUUCGUUUCCGCUGGCCCGGGACUUCUCCCCAGCGAGGCAAUGAAUAUAAACAUUGGUGGAGCAUCGGCUGCGGGCAUGGAUGAUGCAAAGGCGACCUUUUUCGCGUGGUGCGAUCGCCGGCUCUACAACACACGGACGAGGGUGCAAGUGAGUGCAUCAGGGAGGGGUGGUGCUCGCCGGUGGCCAUGAAGGAGGGGGAUGAGAGGGUGGUCGGGGUCAGGGCGAGCGCCGGCGGAUAAGGCCAGCUUUUGCAGCAUGAGGUCGGGGCAAGCGCAGUCGUGCCCAGUGAUGGCGGGGUGGAUGGGCCGAGCAGCGAGCAAUGGCAGCGUAGGCCAGCACCAAAGAUGGCGAUAAGGGAGAAAGAGAGGAUGAGGGGUCCUACCCAGCGCCACGUCAGCAGACACGUGGGCGUUUAACCUAAGUAACUGUGCUUUGGAUCUCACGUGAACCAAUUAGCAAGUUUAGGGGUUUCAAUGUGCAUUUUGAGAGUUCGGGGAUUUAGAUGACACUUGCUGCCAAGUUCAUGUACUGCUAGUGCAUUUUACUUAUUAACCGGCAUGGAAAGACGAUCUCAUCCGUGUCGGCUUCGUUGUUCUAGGCCUAUAAACCACACCGAUGAGGUUCCAGUAGUGCCAUCAGGAAUGUAGUUCCUGCUGGCAAACCAUAAAGAAUUGUUUGACAGGAUGCGCUGGUCAGGAAAGAUCAACUUUUCCUCACAGUCAGCUGACAGAAAACAAUAUCUGACGGUAGUAGGGUACCUCCUUGUAGGGGAGAUAAUGGAAAGCUCCUACGGGAAGGAGUAUGUGUGGAUGACCAAGGGUGGUGGGUUUAUGAGUCCGGAUCCACCCAUGAGGUGAUGCAUCACGUGGGUCAGGAAGCGCCGAGCGCCGUUGGUCGCCGGGUCAUUGAUACCGAUUUGCAGGGCUAGGAGGCACUCAGCCUUGGAGCAAGCGGGGUUGAAAGGUGCUCGAUUUUCUCUCUUUGUUCCUUCCGUUCGUACCUCUGUUUGUAUGAUACAGUUGGAGCUACACAUAAUUUAGGGUUUCGCAUACAUCAAUCUUUUGUUCAGCUUAUGUGUAUUUGGACCAACUUGCAACUACAGAUGCAAUUUUCGGAUUAUUCACCCAAUUUCACAUAGUGGUGAAUAGCUAAAUGUAAUUCUCCAUAUCAUACUCUACAUUUUUUAUUCUAAUUUGUCGUGAUCUGGUGAGUUGACGAUUUAUUCAUGCUUCUUAGCACUUCUUCAUAAAAUCUGACACACAAACUUUUCUGUAUUUUGAAAAUUUGUAGCUGUAAAUGCUACUUUAAUUUUCUUCUAGCAUGCUGUUUAUAGUUUUGUUACAUGCACUGCAAUAUCAUCCAUAAAGGGCUUUGAUGUAUUCUGCAAUAAUAGUAGAUAAUAAGGAGAAAUACCACUCCGUUAUGGAAAAUGUAGUUUCUAAACCUAACAAAUAAAUGUUUUAUAUUUGUACUGCAUUAUUGUUAUAUUCUAUUCCACCACACAAGACUCAGAGAAAAAAAAUCGUGACAUUGACUAGUUUUAAAAUGGUCUCAGGCAUACAAACUGAACUAAUUUACCAAAGCACUGUACGUACAACUAGAAGAAAGGCAUUACAAGUGUAAAGUCUAUAGCUUUGGGAAAUUUCUUUCGACUAACAAUUCUGUUGUAAAAAAAGUUGAUACCCAACCACAGGUGUUGCUACUGUACCACAAAGCUGUCUUAGAACGGAUAACAACUGGGCAUAGAAGACCUACAGAUCCAAAUUAAAGAGUUUGCCAGGUCUUUGUCUUCUUUGUUCACCACGCCAAGCACAUUUGAUGGUAAUAAUUCUACAUUCUUUAUUUCAAAAUUCUGCAUUCUUCUGUUAAUGUGACCCUGCUCCGGCACCUUUCAGUGACAAGGCCAUGUUUUCAAUCCAUAGCUUUGUAGUCCUACUGCCAUGUAUGAAUUUCAACUAUUGGUUGAUUAGGAUGUAUAUUGGUUGCAUUCCUGAUGGUGGUCUCUGCAACCGAUAUGUCCACAUUUGUAGCACAAGUAGGGACAAUAACCACUGUGACAUUUUGGAGGCUUGCAAGGUGCUUGAGACCAAACCUGAAAUCAUCGCUAUUGGACUCUGGUUUGAAAGUAAGGUGAUACCUUUGUAGUUUGGGCAUAGCUCCAGGAGCAAACACCAGCCACAUUCCCGGAAUGAAACAUAUAAGAUAGAACUCAUUUAAACAUUGGAAACCUUGAUCGUCAAUGACGAUCCUCCCACUGGGGGCAUGUCCUGUGAAGACCAGGCGGAGGAAGAGUAGAUUUGAUAUGCAUUUUAGUAUUUCAAUAUCACCUUCUUCCAUUCUAGAGAUGUCCAGUUCUAGGCGUGUGAGAUUGACAGUCGUGCUCAUCCACUUUGGAACUCUAGAAAGAGGUUUCAUAACAAUAAACUUUCGAAGACGCUGCAGAGCUAAGCCCAUUGAUGAAUCUAGAAUGAAAUCUUCUUGACCCCUGUAAUCAAAUGACAGUGAUUCAAGGUUGUCUCUUCCCAACUGAUAGAUAGAAGAGAGCAGAACUUCCUUGUAUCUCGUCCCACGAUCUUCCAUCUCACUAGGGUCUUCCACAGUUAUUGUAAGAUGCCUUAGAUUCCUUAGCGAACCAAGCUCUUCAGCCAACCGUAUAGAGCUGCUUGACAAAAGAAUAUGUGACAAUUCCUCUAGAAGUUGCAUAUUUCCAAUCCUGUCUGGUAGUUUCACUGAGCUCACAUACAAACAAAUUAGUUUCCUCAAUUGAACAACUGUCUCUGGAAGUAUCUCAAUGGAACAAAAUUUUACAUUCAGCAUCUGUAGAUGUUUCAAGUGGAGCAUACUCCCGAUACAUUCGAUGUGGUGGUCUUGCAGCCAUUCACAGCAACCUAAGUCUAACAAACGCAGAGUUCGGGAAUUUGAAAAAUUUGGUACCUGCUUCGUAAAGCCAAUAACUAUAACUGAACGUAUGCAAUGUUGGUUCGUUGUGAUUGUUUUCAUUACUUCAUCCUGAGAAUCAUUGAAGUGGAGGGACAGUCGGCGAAUCUUUGUUGGCAGAGGACUGCUCUGUUGUCCAUCUAUUAUGGUUACAAAAUUCUCUUCAGCUGACAAAGAUUUGAUAAUGCUGAGUACCAUGUCAUGCACUUGAUAGACAUGGCCAUCGUAACCAAUAUCCAUGGGUGUGAUCAUACUUCUAUUAGUAAGAUCAUUAAUGUAGCUCUGUGCUAUCUGCUCCAAUCUUUUACCCCUCUCUUCAGCAAUAAAACCUUCAGCUAUCCAUCUCCUUAUCAAGCUUCUUGGCGUUAUCUUAUAAUCCUCUGGAUAUAUACUUAGAUACAGUAAGCAAGUCUUCAAAUAAGGUGGAAGAUCAUAGAAGCUAAGCAAUAGUAUCUGUUUCAUCCCUUGCAAAGUAUGGUUAUUUUCAAGUGCAGAGCCAAUAGAGUUUAGCACCAACUCCCACUCAUCCUUUGUAUCAGAUUUGGUAGCCAAUAAACUGGCUAUGUGAAGUAUAGCCAAUGGCAAACCACCACAUUUUCUUAAAAUUGCUACGGAAAGCUCUUCCAAAUGUGAGGGGCAACUGUCCGGAGUGUGAAAGAUUCUUCUGAAAAACAGCAUUCUGGAGUUGUCAUCACUUAACGGCUCAAUGGGGUAAAUAUGCCCAUUGAAGCUAGAACAACAUGAUUUGGCUAUGUCCAAAAUGCGUGUAGUUGUAAUUAUUCGGCUACCAAUACUGUUCUCGGGCAAUAUACACUUCAAUAUCUCCCAUUCUGAUAUGCUCCAUAUAUCAUCUAUAACAAUUAGAUACCUAUUCACAAAAAUCAAUUCAACAAAUAAGAACAUAAAAGAAUCUUAGAGAAUUUCUGAUGGUAUGAAUUUCAGCACAUUUUUUGCACACGCACCUCUUGUCGUGGAGAAACUCUCUGAUUUGAUUGAUAAGCUUCUGCUCAUUAUCCCACAUGUUGCCAGCACCACCCAGUCCAGAAAGUAGAUCCACUAGAACCUUCUUAAUGUGUGGUCUUUGAGACACAAAGACAAAACAACUGCAAUCAAACUGGCCCUUGAUUUUCUGAUACACUUGGUUAGCAAGGGUGGUUUUGCCAAGACCUCCAAACCCCACAAUAGACACCAAUGUAAGUGGUGGCCCAAAUCUACACCAGUAUAGAGCGCUGGCAGACGAGGAUCUAUUUCUGCCUUAGUAUCCUUGGAGGUAGACUCAUCAAGCUUAUAUCUUUUUCUGCGGUCACUGAUCUCACGAACUUGAUUCUUGAGUUUUUCAAUUUCUUCAGCAAUUGCACUACUUGAAACCAGUUCCCUCAGCUUCCUGAUGCUGUUGAUGACAAACCCUUUGAUGCCUGUAGGCUGAUCUAGUUUUUCUUCAACCUGAGCCAUGAAGGCAUCGAUGGCAUCCUCGAUGUCAUAGGCAAGCUCUCGGACCUCCUUCAUCCAAGCCUUCACUUGCAAGUCACGCUCCUUCGACAUGGCGUGUUUCUGCAUCACUGCGUUCAUGCUGCUCAGCUCAUUUCGCAGGAACAACACAUCAUUUUCCACCCUUUUGUUCCUGCUAUACUGGUUUCCCAACAUAAAAGAGAGCUUGCAGAGAACUGACUCCAUAACUCCUGUAGAUGCACUUACCAGUGCGCCCUCCAUCAUUGAAUCUCAAUUUCUCAAUAGCAAAGGUCAAAUUUAUAUGUGGGUGCGUGAUUCAGCAUGGGCAAAAACAGCUAAAGGCUAGUAAGGAAAGAGUUGCAUGGAGAAUUAUCAGGAGCGAGAGUUGAGAUUUGAACAGGGGUGUCGGAAGUAUAUGUGUUGUAAUCGAACCGAGAGAUCACAGACGGGCUCCCUGGGGACCUGGACUUGUAGCAAAGUCAAGUGGCCCCCCUUUGAUUUUGUGGCUGCUAAGAUGUGUGUUUUGAAAUAUCUCUUAUCUUUGAUGUGACGUUUGCUUUGGCCAGUAAGUGGCAGCAAUACCUUUCUAAAGAUUAACAAUAGAAAUUAUUUUUUUUCUUAAACUGGCGCUGAGUAUUAUUUCAAUCUUAAAUAUGUUUUGCUCCUGUGAUUUGAGAUAUUUGAGAUUUGGAAAUUAUAUGAUUUUUGCUCAGAAGGCUAAUUUUUGAGAUAUUUGAAUAGAUUUGGAGACCAGAUUUUAGGGAAGACCAGAUAGUGCAUUUGGUGGGAUGAAGAGAAUUUGCAUUAUGCAACAGAUAGUGCCAGAGAGUCAAAAGCACCAUAUUUAAUUUUGCUGAUACCCUUAAUCAUAGAUGUUAACAAUAAAGAUAUUACAAAUUGCUCUUUCAUGACGUUUGUCUGGAUUGGACUCUCUUUCACGUGGUGACUAUAGGUUGGAUUGCUCUACAACUGCUAUCUUUUUCUGUGGUGAGUAUUUUACAAUGGUUGAAAAAGUCAGAGCCAUCCAUUGAGAGAAAUCAUACGAUGGAAGGAUAGGAGGUUCCUAGAGAAAAAUAUAAAGAGGUACAAAAUAGAUGGAACCAGGUAACAAAAAUAGUAGGACCUGUAUCCAGUUUAAUUUAAUUUUAAACUACCUUCCUACCCAGCUUAAUUUAAUUUUUAACUACCUUCCUACCACAACCCAGUGGUAACGUAAUACCGUUAACAAAAUUAUAUGUUAAUCUACUCAGGCCCUGUUAUGGUACUCCAGUUAUCCUUAGGAGGUAUAGGUUUAGAAGAAUCACAAUCCUUGAUUUUGGAAUGGAUGAAACAGUUAAAUAAUUAAAAUAAUCAAGAAAGUGCUAGAAACAGGCAUGACCACUCCUGGAGCGCACGGAUUGGCAUCAGGACUUUCCCAACAGCGCAUGGAUCGGCAGCUAUCUGUAGUUUAGUUGAGGUUGAUUAGGCGUAGAGGUUUUCCAUGCUUGACAAACCUUGUACACUAUAACCUGCUGCUGAUCCUGCUAGCUUAAGGAAUUCAUCUUGCAUUCCACCCAAAUAACACAUGCUUUUGGAAAAUUCAUGAUAAACCCUAUUAGAUCACAGCAAAGGACCCUAUUAGAAACUCAUCAGAAAGCUGGCCUCUGCCUUAAGCAUGCGCUAGAUAAAAGAAAUAUUCCAAAAACUAUAUUAUUAAUACAAAAUUUCACAUCACCCUUCUCAGUAGUAUGGUAUCCCUAGAGAGAAAACAUCACUACUACCGUACACCAACUUAUAUCCUAGAAACAAGAUGCCAAAAGAGGCCUGAAAUCACUACAGGAAUUGUAACAUAUGCUGAGAGUUCUUCAGCAAGUGGCUGACGGGAAUGAGUAUUUUUGUCAAUUCGGUCUCAUAUUCUAGGUCGGCAAAUUAAUGGUUGGUGGGGAAUUCGUUUUUACUCUUGGGAAAUCCUAUUUUGCUACUAAACUACCGUCAGCCAUUGGAGAGGAGAAAGUAUUGAUGCUGGAGUUCCCGUCGGCCACUUUGUACGAAACCCUAGGCAAUAGUUCUAAAUCUUGUAGUGAAUAGGUUAUGAAUAGAUUAAUGAGAACAGAGGAGAUAAACAUAAGUACUACAAUACGAAAGUCUUAUGUUUUGAAACAAUAUGCAGAGAACGAGGCCUACUUUGAACAGUUGAAUGUCAAACUUGAUACAGAACAUGGCUGUUGUAACACCAACUUGUGUUUUUAUAGGCUAAUAAAAGUGUUACUAUGGCACCUAGUAACACAUCUUGUUAGUGUUACUUUUUCCAAUGUUACGAUAGCCUGAUCUAUAGGAACACAAAUUAUGUGUUGAUUUGCAUCUUAAAAAAGUGUUACUACUCUAUAACACAAUUUCUUACCUAGUGGAACAUUUAUCAAAUGUUACAAUAAGUUUCUUAAUAACAUAUUUUUGAAGCUCUAGUAACACUUUCACUUUGUGGUAGAGUACAAGAACAUAGCUUAGAACACAUGGUUUGAAGCACAUGUUUUACCUAUUGUAACACAUUCAAAUUUACAAUAAAUAUUAUUUUACAUUUGCAUUUGUCAUAUGAUGUUGAUAUGAAAUUUUCAUACACAACACAUUACAGAAUCACACAAAACUAUAAAUUGCAAUAAUGAUAGCAAGCUGCAUUGAUUGUAGGAAGGUUACAACCGUAGUACUUGUUCUGUUGUUCACAUCAUGCACAUACAUAAGGAUAUGAUUCAAAUAAGAAAAUGUAGUGAAUAGUACAAAGUCCAUAUUACUAGAAAAAGGAAAAUAUAAACAUAAACAUCUGGUAUUGUUAAACUUUAUUGCUGCUUUAUCCAUUCUUGUAUAUGCAGAUAUAAUAAUUUAGCCACCGAUCAAUUCAACCUGCCAUAGAAAGAAAAUUGUACAUUACAUAUUAUGCUAUGUAUAUAUGGUACACUAAAAAUUCAGAAAGCUAGGUGUAACAUAUUGAAUACAAACUCUCUAUAAUAAUCUGAAAUACUGAGAAAUUGAUUCAUGUAGGUAUUGACAAUAUAUUAAAAAGUAAAUGAGUAAAAUUUGUCAGGGAGGGUUCAGUAUUUCAUGUAAAUGAUUACUAUCCUAACUGGCAAGCUAGUAUUUCAACAACAGUUAGUGUUGUUUCACCGAAAAGUUGCUAUUAAAUGAAUCCUGAGAUUUACCGACGAGUAGGUAGUAUGUAAUGCUUGCAAUCACAGUACCGAUAACUUGUUUAAUAUCAGGCAAUUCCAAGAUCUAUAUAUUGCUAUGGAAGAUAUAAGAAUGUGUCGCGGUUCAUACAAAAGGAAAACAUACUUUACCAAAGGUGGUCCCACACUUCUUGGCUAGUUGAUCUCCUUGGGAACACUGGUUUGUUCAAUUAGCUGGAAUCAGCACUGGACAAUAAGCAAUCAUUGUGGACUUAUUACUAAUUUGGAGAGCAAAACAUAAAAGCACAUAAAUAAACAAGGAAAACAGUAAUCUCUGGGAAAGAAAAGUCUAAUAUCUCUGUGGCAUUUCAACAAACAAGUCAUGGGCAAGUCGAUUAAAGAAACCGGCAAUGUAUUCAAGAUAGAUGCAAUUUUGUCAUAAAAAAUGUACCGCGGAGCAUCACUACCCAGUCUUCCUGGUCUGCAGUGAUCUGUCUGGAAUAAAUUAAUUACACUUAGUCAGGAGCCUUAGUCUGAACUUACACGGAGCCUUAGUCUGAACUUAUACGGAGACGAUUUGUUGCAUGCAGAGGCAAAGUUUGGUUCCUAGAGGCACAUGCCGGGGCCCAAUUUUGCUGCAGAGCAACCAAUCGAUCUAGUCUAAUAAAAAAAACCUAUGAGCAAAUAAGCAUCCAGGAAAAAGACAACUGAAGUAUGCAAUAAGACACACCUAGGGCAGAUGCCCCAAUCCCUUUGUCGAGAAGGCAAACUGGUACAUGGAGAAUGGUGAUGCAGGGUCUCCGAUAGGCAAACAAGUGUUACUGUGUAACAAAAUUACUGGUUGUAUCAAGAUAAUCAAAUCAGAACAAUGGUUGUUAUGUUUAUUUGUCAGCCUUGGUUGGCUUGUAGACUUAUUAUGAGCCCCAACUUGUCUAAUGGUUGUAGUCUCUUGGAGCAUUAGCACGAGCUGUCCAGUUUUUUAUUUUUCUGUGGCCUUCUAUAUGGUCUAAUUCUACUAUGAUUACUUUAGUAAUUUAAAGCUUUAUGGGACUCACUCAAAUCUCUAGAAAGAUGAGAGAACCUAUAAACAUUUGAAUUUUUAGAUACAUCAAGAAAGAAGUUAACCUCACCACCAAAUCCAAGACUGUAUCCACAACGCACCCCCAUUAGUGGAAACAAGAUUAAAGAACACAGAACUCUCUUGGUCGAGGUUGCCUAUUGUACUCCCUCCGUUCCAAAUUGUAAGUCAUUUCAAGAAUCUUGGAGAGUCAAAGUAUCCCAAGUUUGAUCAAAAUUAUAGAGAAAAAUAUAAAGAUUUAUGACAUCAAAUAGAUAUGCUAUAAAAAUAUAAUUGAUAAAGAAUCUAAUGAUACUUAGUUGACAUCAUAAAUGUUAUUAUAUUAUCAUAUAAAUUUGGUCAAAGUUGAGAUACUUUGACUCUCCAAGAUUCUUGAAAUGACUUAUAAUUUGGAACGGAGGGAGUAUUAAAUUAUUAAUUAAGAAGGAGAACCCACAUGGACAAAAUUGCAUGAUGAAAAAUGCAAUCACACAAAAAGGUAGAAUUCGAUAUUGACGGACGACCUGAAAUUCUCCUGUUUUCAUUACCACAAACCAAACAUAGCAAGGGGCUUAGGGAGAAUAGAAACCUACGGACCUGCAUGGAUGUCGUCGGACUCGUCGUGGUUGCAGAGAAGGGACGGGGAGGGUCCGACAGCAGCGAUUUGCGAUGGCCGUCGGUGAGGACGUACUGGAAGGGCGGCGAGAUGAGCAGAAAGACAUGGGACGGCGAGGAGUCGAGGACGAGCGGCGGCAGCGAGAGGCGCAGCAAUUUCCAGCCGCGAGAUGCAGACGAAGGGCGCCGAGAUAAGCAGAGAGAAAAGGAUCGGGGAGGACGCGAUGCCGGCGGCAGCGAGAGGUGCAGCAAUUGCUGGCGGUGAGAUUCGCAAAAAGGGCGUCGGCCUGUAGGCUGUAACCGUAACCAGCGAGAGGGGCGCGCACGAUUGGUUGCUAACUGGUUUGCCGCAUAUUUUUGUUUUUCAAUUACGAGCUCUUGUUUUUCAUCCGUGUUGCAUUGAUGGAUGGCGCCCCUCAUUUUUUUUGGCACGAUUUUUUUAUUGGCGCCAACAAUAUAUGUGAAAGAUUGAUAAGGUUUCCAAACUCAUUAGAUGUUAAUAUAUUGGCUCCUUUGCUAAUUUUUAGUGCCUUUUCUACAAUUUACUAUGUACUAGGAAAUAACAUAUCUACAAAUGAUCAUGUAUAGUAGUUACGUCCUUGGAUAAACAUAAUGCCUAUUUAGUUUCUUUAUUUUUCUCAUUGGUAUAUGGCGGUUAAUUAAACAUGUACAUUAAUGAGUCAACGUAGGGCUCCAGAAAAUGUUUAUGGAGCAGAUCCGAUCAGUGUGCACUGUUCAGGCCAAGUUUAUCCCUUUUAAUUUUCGAUUUCUCUUCCUUUUACCCAUCAUGUCAAAUCCGUAACAUUCUUCGUUGAUGCGCAGGAGAGGUGGACACAGCGACGUGCUGAAAAAUUCCCAUAAUCUGGCAUGAGUUGAUCUGGUCACUCCAGCAAGCAGAGGCUUCAAGAUUCAUUCGCUUGGGGUCUCAACAUUCUCAGCCAGAAGUGCCCUUCAACUAAUCAAGUGAUAGUCCAGAUCAACUCGUUCCAUUGUUCCUUUAGAAAGCCAUACAAGAUAGGAACGUUUAAUAUAUGUUUUUGGUGACACAUUGAGUGACAACAGUGUAUAUAUGUUUCUUUGCAACAUAUUAGUUGUAACAUUAUUUUGUAUGUGUUAUAAUAUAAUACUAUAUUUGUAACAUUUUAGCCGUAACACUAAUUUUGUGUUACAGUAAUCAUGGUCCGUAACAUAAUUUUAUAAAACAAGCCCUAUGUGUUACAAUGUUUUUCUGUAACACAUAGUUUUGUGUUCCUACAAAACUUAUUUGUAAACACGUUGACAAAUGUGUUACAAGUGUGUGUUAUGCUAUCUAUGUUUUGUAGUCGUGAUAUGUUGUCAUAAAGCUUGGCAUCCUGUAUAAUUAAAACACGUUAGUCUAACUGUAUUGCCAUUUUAUCUGUAACACACGUCAGACGCACACAUGCAUCAGUAAAUUAAAACCGUAACUAAAUUAACUUGGCUAGCUGUUGGUUAAUUAGUAUCUACUUUGUCGGCUGCCGAAAAGCCGAUAUUGUAUUAAAUAUCAUGAGCACUGCCAAUUGUAUAAUACUCUCUCUAUCCCAGAUUAUUAUUUAUUUUAGCUUUUCUAGAUUUAUAGUUUUUAUUAUGCACCUAAAUAUAUACUAUGUGUAGAUACGUAGCAAAAGACAUGUACCUAGUCAAAAUGAAUAGUAAUUUGGAAUGGAGGGAGUAAAAAAUGUUAAGAUAUGUAUUGUAACCGAUAUGGAUAAUGAUUGGUCAGGAGUUUGAAUUAAGUUAUUGUAUAGAGAUAAUACUCCUUGUAAAUCUAGUUUGUUGUAGAUAGAGCCUGGCUGGCCACAUCUAUAUAUAUGUAAUUGUUUGCAUCACAUUAGAUGCAUCUAUUAACAUGCAACCGUCAUCGAUCCAAGAUAGGAUGUUGACGUUACACGCAUCCACACCUCUGAUUUUCACGUGAUAAUCAGAGCCUACACAAAAUUCUCCACCAACUACAGAAGGAUUGGUGACAAAUCCUGCGCUAGCUGUCUCCCUGCGCGGCGACAGAGCCCCUGUGCCAGAUUAUUUCUGCGCUAGCAACAGCAUCCGGCGACAGAAGCAACAGAAAAUUUCCACGAACAGCAUCAGAAGCAACAGGAAAUUUUUUUUCCUGCGCCGAAACCAAUCUCCAUGGCGUCAAGUUCGUCUACUGCUAAUCCGCUCCUCGGCACCCAAGUCACCAAGAAGCUGACGCGCCAUAACCAUGCCGUAUGGACGGCACAAGUUCUUGCGACCUUACCAGGCGCAAGAUUGGAGUGCUUCAUCAACGGCAAGGCCGUCGCUCCAGCUACUGAGAUCGAUGUGACGCAAGCUGAUGACAAGGUCGUCAGGGUGGAUAAUCCCACCUAUGAGGAGUGGUUCGCCUCUGACCAGCAGGUCUUAGGGUUCCUCUUCUCCUCCUUGUAUAAGGAUAUCCUGGGGCAGGUGACCUCCACGAAGAUGGCAGCCGAACUUUGGAAGAUGAUUGGUGACAUGCUCGCCUCUCAUACUCGUGCGCGAAAUGUCAAAGUUCGCCUCUCCCUCGCCACCACCAAGAAGGAGAACAUGAUGAUAUCUCAAUACUACGCGAAGAUGAAGGCACUUGCAGAUGAGAUGACAGCUGCCGGGAAGCCUCUCGACGAUGAAGAACUAGUAGCAUUUAUCCUCAAUGGGCUAGAUUUUGAAUAUAAUCCAUUGACUUCUGCUCUCAUUACUAGGGUAGAACCAAUUACGUUGCCUGAAUUGUACUCUAAGUUCUUGAGUUUUGAGACUAGAUUAGAGCUGCAGCAAGGAGGCAGCUCUCCAUCCUCUGUCAAUUUGGCAGGGAAAGGUGGCCGUGGUGGUGGUCAGUGUAUGCGAAGUCCUAGCAACUUCUCUAAUCAGCAAACAUGAGGGCGUGGUUGAUGCUCUGGUCCUGAUCAUGGCUUUGGAAGCCGUGGCCGUGGGCAGCAGGGGCGUGGAAAUUUCUCAAGUCAACAGCAACGCAAGCAAUACCCCAAUGUUCCAAGCUACGACACCAAUGGACGUCCCGUCUGUCAAGUGUGCUACAAGUUUGGGCAUGUGGCGCUACAAGGUUGGGCAUGUGGCGUCUGAUUGUUGGCACAGGUUUGAUGAAAAUUAUGUGCCUGACGAGCGUCAUGUUGCUGCUGCUAUGAGUUACUCCGUGAACACAAAUUGGUACACGGACACUAGAGCCACCGAUCACAUUACUAGUACUCUUGAGAAGCUAGCCAUUAGGGAGAAGUAUAAUGGCAACGAUCAGAUUCACACGGCCAGUGGCGCAGGUAUGGAAGUCAAACAUAUUGGUCAUUCAAUUGUUCAAUCCCUAGUUCGCAAUUUGCAUCUAAAUGAAAUUCUUCAUGUUCCAAAAGCUGCUAAGAAUCUUGUUUUGUUCAUUGUCUUGGUAAAGAUAAUUCAGCUUUCCUUGAAUUUCACCCUAAUUAUUUUUUCGUUAAGGAUCAAGCAAUGAAGAACAUCAUUCUUAAAGGGUGUUGUCAUAAAGGGCUUUAUCCUCUUGCUUCUACAUCUGAAAUAAAGCAAGCUUUUGGAGUCGUCAAACCGUCUUUUGAAAGGUGGCAUAGUCGCCUCGGUCAUCCUUCUGCUCCUAUAGUGUCGAAAGUCAUUAGCAGUAAUAAUUUGCCUUGUAUUAGCAACAAAGGAAGUGAGUCGAUUUGUAAUGCUUGUCAACAAGCAAAGAGUCGUUAGCUCUCCUAUCAAAGAUUAGAUAGUGUUUCCAGGCACCCUUUGCAAUUGAUUUUUUCUGAUGUUUGGGUCCUGCUUCAACUUUUCUUGGAGGAAAGAAAUAUUAUUCUAGCUUCAUCGACAAUUUUAGUAAAUUCAUCUAGAUUUAUCUGCUUAAAUUCAAGUCUAAAGUCUUCCAAAAAUUUCAUGAAUUCUAGAAUCAUGAAUUUUAGAAUCUUGUUGAGCGUAUGUUCGGCCGAAAAAUUAUAGCUAUGCAAAACGACUGGGGAGGUGAAUAUCACAAGCUUAAUUUAUUUUUUAGCAAUGUCGAGAUCUCACAUCUUGUGUCCUACCCGCAUACACACCAGCAAAAUGGUGCUGCAGAAAGAAAGCAUCGCCACACCAUUGAAGUAGGUCUCUUCCUUCUUGCUCAUGCAUCAAUGCCUCUCAAAUUUUGGGAUGAGGCUUUUCUUACUGCCACAUACCUCAUUAAUCGUCUCCCUAGCCGAGUUAUUCAUGGUGACACACCUUUAGAGCGUCUUUUCUAGCAAAAACCGGAUUAAACCUUUAUGCAUGUGUUUGGGUGUGCUUGCUGGCCAAAUCUAAGACACUACAAUGCGCACUCGUAGAGCAUCUUGCGCCGCUGCCUCUCCGCAUUGGAUGAUGAAUCUGUUCACGUGCUCUACAGUUGAGGUGUCAUCCAGCCCUGAAAACUUGGUGAAAUCGGGAACUUUGUACCGAUAGGGAAACGACAGUAAGUCAUAAGUAGGCGGGUAUGGUGUCUUGUAUGUAUAGGUCUGCAUCUUCGGUUUUAAACCGAAUUGCUCUUGAAUCACCUCCGCUAUGCGUGUCGUCCAGUCUGGUUGUUGCUGAUGGACUAUCGGCUGGGGAACCGGCACAUGUUGGUAGACUGGCGGCGGGAUGACCGGGUGAUAGGCGAAAGCGUGCGGCGCCUGAUGUGUCGUAGCUGGCUACGUAGUCGGGGUCGGCUGUUUGAAUGAAUCGGCCGCUUCGUCAUAUAGUAUGAUCGGCGCAGCGCCCCGAAGUAUUUCUGUUGCUUCUGCCCCCCUGCUCAUCUCCGGCGCGACUGGCUGAUACUGUGGCAUCGUCGGCCUAACGGCCGAUUGGAAAGGUGCCUGGAUUUGAGAACCUCCAUGGCUGGCCGAUUGAUCCUGGACGGCCGUUACUGAUGGUGUCCCCCAAGGCACUGGAUUCAAAGGAGGAAACUGCGCGGAGGAUAACUGAAUGGGAUGCGGCCGGAGAUAUGGCGCGCCGUUAGGCCCCAGAGGGAUUGAUGAUGAGGAGGCGCUGGGACCUCCAAUUGGAAUCUGGAUCGGCUGAGGAGCCGAGUAGGGUAUAUUUGAAUAACUCCUGGUCGGGGCCGUAAUAGGUGGGGCAUACGCCGGCCCCUGGUACCCUUGGGAUACGCCGUUGGCCAAGGAGCUGAUGACGGCAUUGUAUACCGUAUUAGAAAUCACCAGGGAUUGAUCAAUGAAAGCUUGAUAGACAGAUUGUUGAACCAUCUCGGACAUCUUGCCCGAGUCCUCGGCGAUUGUGAUCUGGCGAGGAGUUGGAAACGGAGUCUUUUUUACAGUUUCCCCGCUCCUGGUACGACUGAAGGAUUGCAGACACGUCUUCCGGUAGUAUGCCAUCUGCUUUUCCAAUUCUUCCUCCUGGUCGUCCCUGAGGUCUGCUUCCGUCACUUCGAUGACGUUGUCUUCCGAGACUUCGGCAGCUUUUGACAUAGUGGCUAAUGUAUUGGUCCCACCUGGCGUGCCAAAAGUGUGUUGGUGCUAGAAAUCGGCUGAUCGGAUCCCCAGCGUCGGACACACGACCCGGGAGAAUCUGCUUAACUACUGUUCAGGUGAUCGCCCUGGUGCGGUUUGCGCGGCGUGCCAGCCAAUCUGACCUGUUGAUUGGCAAGGAAAGAAACGUGUCAGAUCCCAGAGAUUGCGAUCGGCUAAGGUUCCGAUCUCGAGAUAGCUUAUCAGGGAAUCGGCCGAUUUGCUGUAAUAAAGAAAUUGGCUAUAAUGCAACCGAUUACCGAGCAGCGUUAAUAAAGAAGACUGUUGUAGUAAUCUAAACAAUGCUACAGUAACAACACUAGGAAUAGAUCUAAAUCGGCUAUGCGUAAAAUAAUAGAUUGAAUAACGAAGCACAAGAAAGCCGAAAGUUCCAAUUCCUAGCUGGAUAACUGGUGAUAAAACUAGAACAAUAGGCAAAACCUAAGAUUCUAGUGAAUAUCGAUAACUAGUGAAUAAAUCUAAAUGAAACGACAGCGAUGCGCCCGAAAUUAAAGCUUAGAUAUUACUCGAUAAACGAAACUUACAGAAUCGCCCGGAGAUCAAGUUGAUGCAGCCCCACCAACCCGUAUGAACUCGUGAAAGGAAGAAAAGUAUUGGUGAAGUCGCCUGCUUGAAAGUAAGUACGAGGAAAUAGUAGUUUGUUGUAUUGAUUUGAUGAUGAUUACAGAUCUAUGAAGGUGGCUAUUUAUAGCCUAUUACAAACGAUUCCUUAACCGACUAGAACUCUAUCUCUAAUUUUAAACGAAAACGAAUAUUUACAACUACGAUUCGUACUGGGGUUGAUCAUCAUGCUCUCAUGGGCUGACUCCCUUUUUAUCUUCACAAUCCACUUUAAGCCCAUACCGGCCCAAUUGCUCCAGUCUCCUAAUCGGCCGAUUUCUACCCACUCCAUCGACAAGGGACAGCCGAUUACGGCCCACAUGUCGGGGGCUCCGACUACUUCGACCCUGGGACCUAAGGUUGGGCGAGGCGGAAUUCCUCCCUCGGAGGGUCGGGCGCAUCCGACCCCAGGACUCAGGGGUCGGGCGAGGCGGAGUUCCACCCACAACGGGCAAUCGACCGAUCCUCGACUGUAGCUCCAAUCGGCUGAUUUCCAACCGUGACCUCUGUGUCUUGCCGCAUCUCCUGAUUUCUUCCUUUCCUGACGCCGAUUUCAUACGUGUCAAAAUCUGGCGUCAACAGACUCUUCGUCAACUAGAUGUACAAAAUGCUUUUUUUCAUGGUGUGUUGGAAGAAGAUGUAUUCAUGAGACAGCCAUCAGGAUACGAGGAUCGAUCUUUUCCUAAUUACAUUUGCAAACUAGACAAGGCAUUGUAUGGAUUGAAACAAGCAUCUAGAGCCUGGUAUUCCAAGUUAAGUGCUAAAUUGUGUCAAAGGGCUUCAAGUCAUCUAAAGCAGAUACGUCGUUGUUCUUUUAUAACAAAGGGAAUACUACAAUAUUUAUGCUUGUCUAUGUUGAUGAUACAAUUGUCACCAACUCCAAUUCGGAUGUCACUUCAGCGCUGUUGCAAUAGCUUAAUAGAGAAUUUGCUCUAAAAGAUUUGGGUGAUCUACAUUAUUUCUUGGGAAUUGAAGUAAGUAAGGUACGUGAUGGUAUAUUACUGACACAAGGCAAAUAUGCUUCUGAUGUAUUGAGGCGAGUUGGUAUGAGUGAUUGCAAGGGGGUUGCUACUCCUCUUUCUACUUCAGAGAAACUCUCGAUUCAUGAAGGAGAGAUUCUUGGGCCUAAUGAUUCAACACAAUACAGGAGUGUGGUAGGAGCUUUGUAGUAUCUAACCUUAACAAGGCUGGACAUUUCUUUUUUUUUAACAAGGUGUGCUAGUUCUUACAUGCUCCUACUAUGACUCAUUGGGCUGCUGUCAAACGAAUAUUGAGAUAUUUGAAGUACACUCUGAAGCUUGGUUCAAAAAUUAGUAGAACUUUAUCAUUACUUGUGAGUGCCUAUUCUGAUGCUGAUUGGGCAGGAUGUCUGGAUAAUCGACGUUCUAUAGGAGGCUUUGCUGUGUUUCUGGGUCCUAAUCUUGUCUCGUGGAGCGCACGUAAGCAAGCAAUGGUAUCUGGUUCAAGCACAGAGGCUGAAUACAAGGCUGUUGCUAAUGCGACAACUGAAGUGAUGUGGAUACAGACUUUGCUAUGUGAACUGGGAGUUCAGGCACCUAUAGCAGCAAAGUUAUGGUGUGAUAAUUUGGGAGCUAAGUACUUAUCUGCUAAUCUAGUGUUUCAUACUCGCACUAAACAUAUUGAAGUUGACUAUCAUUUUGUUCGAGAACGAGUAGCUAAACGGUUAUUUCAACCAAGAAGCAGGUUGCUGAUGGCUUUACAAAGUCGCUUGGGGUGCAGUUGCAAAUGUUCAAGCACAAUGUCAACUUGCGAAGUUUAGAUUGAGAGGGCGUGUUAAGAUAUGUAUUGUAACCGAUAUGGAUAAUGACCUGCCAGGAGUUUGAAUUAAGCUGUUGUAUAGACAUAAGACUCCUUGUAAAUCUAGUUUGUUAUAGACAGAGCCUGGCCGACCACAUCUAUAUAUAUGUAAUUGUUUGCAUCAUAUUAGAUGCAUCUAUUAACACGCAACCGUCAUCGACCGAAGAUAGGAUGUUGACGUUCCACGCAUCCGCACCUCUGAUUUUCACAAAAGAUAGUGUGGGAUAUAUAACAGGAAACGCUAAUAACAAUUCCCAGUCCCAGGAGAUCCACUACUUCUAGUCCCAGCUUUCAUGCUUAUUCCAGCAAGACCAGAAGCAAGCUGUCCACCCGCCAUGGGCAGCAUCGCCCCUGAUGGAGUUGGAGCCAGCGUCGAGAGAUCAAUCGGGAUGGAAGAGGCUGCCGCUUUCGACCGCGUGGCGGAGAGAAAGAAGGCUGCUGUGUCAGCAGGGUUGAUGUGGAAGCCGCCGGCGGCCAUGGUGCUGGUGCAGCUGAUCAUCACGGGGCUGAUCAUGCUGUCCAAGGUGGUCAUCAGCCGCGGCAUGUUCAUCUUCGCGCUCCACGCCUACCGCAGCGCCUUCGGCACCAUGUGCAUCCUACCUUUCGCAAUGUUCUACGAGAGGUGCGUGCUCGCAUAACUCCUCCCUUCUUUCGUACAUCCAUAUCUUGGUUGCCUUUUGAUUUCUUGAGUUAUCUAUUUUCUAAAAAUGUUAGUUUUUUUGAACAAAGAAACCCCAUGGUAUUUCUGUUUCUUAAGCAAAUUUUGAAGAAUAUUUGUGAGUCUUAUAUACACCGUUAGAUGCAUAUGGAGACAAGUAGAACUUCAUUUAGAGCAUAAGGUCAAACGGCUCAAAUUUGAAAAUUAGGUGCCUAGUCAAAUUGUUAUUUUCUUAAACUACUUCUGUUUUAAUUUUGUGCAGGGGGAAGUGGAAGGAGUUGAACUGGCGAACCUUGGGAUGGAUCUGCCUCAACUCGUGCAUAGGGUACGUAUCACUCCUCAAAUUCAGUUAUAAUCUUUUAUUAGUUUCUUCAGUCAGCCGCAUAUGGUCAUGGAAAUACAAAUGAUGGCCAUGCGACGGGACUUGGGAGUUGCUCUCAAUCGAAGUGCCAAUGUGAUUAAAUAGAGCACAGCGAAGCUUUGGUGCUGCCUGCAUGGCUGCAUAUCUUAUUGUCCUGUCAACGCUUACACGAAGAACUUGGAAAAUACUUUAGUCUGUGUAUGUGUCAGUGCAUACGUCAGUGCUCGAAUAAGGAUACUUAAAAACCUGAGCCUCUUUUGCUUCAAGAUAAACCUACACUAUCUAGAUGUGCUCUAAGGGUUAUCUAGUGCGUUUGCUCCCCCACCAAUAUAGAGUUUUGUAACAUAGAACCAACCCUAUCAAUCUACUCUAGGAAGGUAAAGCUGCACAAGAUUGCAUCAUAGUAAAUGUCAAAACGCAGAUGGUAAGCAAGAGGAUUGCAAACUUGGUACUAGGAUUUGUCCUAUGGUAUUGGUAGGCAAGCUGCCACCUCUAUUCAAUGAUGGAGCUCUUGCAAGGAUAUGCUCUUAGUUAACCAAGACAGAUGAGGAACUUUCCACCACGGCAAGUCUUGCUAUAAGCCUUACUUCUGUUGCGAUUGCUGUUUUCACUUUGGAGCUUGAGCCACAAUAGCAAGGGCCUCUGCAUCCAUGUACAACCUUCCUGUCGCUGCUCCAUACAAGCCGUGGAGUCAAUAAGCUUGAGCCAUCAAGAAUCAAGGUGUGGUGCACACCAAGAUCGACUACAAGUAUGGAUCACGCCUUAAUCCACGCACAUGGCAGUAAUACCUGGCAAGACUCUCUCUUGGCAUAACUUAGUACUAAUCACUCACUAAUCUCGUGCUAAAUGCCUUAGAUGAUCAGUUUAUGUACUUUGGUGGCUUUGUAGUCUUCUCAAGUGUGUAGCUUUCUCUAGACUCCAGCUUCCUCAAAUAACCGAGUAAGGUGAUAAUUAUAGGCUCAACCAUUCAAACUAGACGUUGCGAAUGGCUUAAUUUCACUAUGAAAACUGGAUGAUCUGAAGAUAUCUUGCUCGCACUCAAACAAACCCUCUGGUGUGCAUAAGAAAGCAACUAAUUAUAACUGUUGGACACCUAUAUUAGCACACUAUGCCAGGAACUAUUUGUGGCCACACCUGACAUUUUUUACCAGGGUCGGACAUAAUUUGCAAUCUGCUCAAAUAGCCAGGCGGGCUCUAUCAGCAGACCUGUCCUUGAAAUGCAUUUUCAGGGCUGGGCCAUAUAAAGCAACCGAUUAUAGAAAUGCAACCAUUUCCAGGUUUGGGCCACAUAUUACCGAUCCCGGAAACGGGGAUUUCUUGGACCAGUCACUUAUGUAUAUACCAGCCAUAGAAAUUGUUGCAUUUCCAGGCCUGGCUAGUUUUGCCAGCCGGUCCUUGUAAAUAUUUUCCAUGACCGGUCUACAUAUAUAUAUGGAAGUACCCCUUUUGUCCACUUCUAUAAUACACAUUUUAUUUGAAUAUAAGUCUGUCUUUGUAAGUUUUAACCAAUAACUAGUCAAUUUAUAUGCACAUUAACAGUAUAAAUAUAUCCAAUUUUAUAUUUGUUUUACUAUGAUGUUGAUUUUAUAGCAGUUGACCAACAACAUGUUGAUAAAUGGUAAUUAUCAGUAAGUACAGGCGAUUAAUAAUUUGUGUGAUAUGCAGGUAUGCGAUGCCAACGUGCCUAAACUAUUAUGGUCUCCGGGAUACUACACCAUCCUAUGCCGCCAUCUUUCUCAAUAUAAUUCCUCUCAUAACCUUUAUUUUAUCCACCGUUUUGAGGUCAGAACUUGUUCUAUUUUAAUUUGUAUAUAUGAGUCUGGACAAUGUGCUUCAGAUUUUUAUAGGGUGUAGAUAACGGGAACAACUAGUAAAAGUAUUUAUGUUCUGAUCUAUUUCAAUCAUAGUAUUGUAAUUCAACUCAUCAAAACACACAUUUCUGUAAAAAUUUGUUAGAAUGGAGAAAUUGCAAUUCGGUACUGCGACGGGAUCACUGAAGGUAGUAGGAGUCCUGCUUGCCGUAGGAGGCACGAUGCUGGUAAGCCUUUACAAGGGCAAGGUACUGCAUCUUUGGGGUUCCAUUUUACGGCACCAAAGAUAUGAGCAGCCACAUACUGCAAAGCACCAUGUAAGAGGAACAAUCCUCUUGCUAGGCAGCAGCUUCACCUUUGCAUCAUGGUAUCCGAUUCAGGUAAUCACACACUUUCUUGACCAUUGUCCAUCCAACUAAGUGUGCACAAUGUAUGUCACUGAAGUUCAAAUAUAAUGAUGUUUUGUUCCGCAGUCAAUGGUCAACAAAGUUUAUCCGCAUAAGUAUUGGUCAUCCACGGCGACAUGCUUUCUUGGAGGACUUCAGACAACAUUAAUUGGAAUAAUACUGAGACGAGAUAGGAAUACAUGGAAGCUUGGAUGGGAUCUACAACUUCUAACCAUUGUGUACACGGUAAAAGCCACCAGGUUCUUUAAAUUUUCGAACUCAGUUUACAACAUAAACUGUACUAAUUCAGUUCAUAAAAGAAAGAAACAAUUUGAGCUGGGCAUGGACCCCGCAAAACUCAGGUUAAAAACAAGGACAACAACACUGGUAGAGAAACGAGCAGUAGUCCCAGUUGGAAAACCUUUAGUCUCGGAUUUUUCUUGAGGAUGGAAGAUCGUUUUUCCACCAGUGCAAUAUGAUUUAUUUGUAUGCUUUUUAGGAGCAGCACCUAAUAAUGAAAUGACGUUACAGACCCACAAGGUUGGGUGGUUUUCUGGUCCUCUUGCUUUCCUACAUGUUCCCUUCUCCUAGUUAUCUUAUCUCAUAAUCUAUCUCUGCGUCCGGCUCGCCUUCACUCAGUCAAGGGGUUCCCCUUUACCUCCUUCCGGGUUGAGCAAAAAAAAUCAAUGGAUUGACCAUUGCCGAAACAAGGUUUAAGCGCUAAUGUAUUUUAGAAAAUAAUUGUAUGUGUUCAUUUGUUGGUCUUUUAGCGAAUUUAUUCAUUUGUGCUUGAUGAAGUUAAUAUGAAAACAAACAUAAACACCAACUACUAUGCAGGCGGUACUUGCAACAGCAGUAAGAUACAACCUGGAGUCAUGGGCCGUUGCCAAGCGAGGCCCAGCGUUUCCAACAAUGUUUAUCCCUUUAAUAACUGUGUUCACUACCAUGUUGGACUCCAUAUUUUUAGGGGCUGCCAUUACCGUUGGAAGGUUAGCUGUUUCUAACUCUUGCUGUAAUUGCGCUAUCCUGCUUAAAUUUUUCAUGGCUGUAUGUAACUAUUGAUUGAACUGUCCCGUUUCUGAAUGUGCAGCCUCCUUGGUGCAGUAACCGUAAUUGCAGGGCUCUAUGUUUUCCUAUGGGGAAAAUCGAAAGAGCUGCCCACAAAGUAGAUAUUACCAAAAGGAUGGAAUUGUAUUUUUAUACUGUUAGGUAUACGAUUCAUUGUUAAGUUAAUUUAUAUAUGCAACAGGCGUAUCAAAUAAUCAAUUACUUAUAUUGAUUUUAUUCGAUGAGGCAUCCGCAGCUUACUAGCAAGGGUCCAUGUCUUUCAGACAUCACAAUUUGUCAGCCAGAUUUGGUUUACUGCGGUUACUGGCACUACCAGAACCUCAAAUUUGCCGAGUGGUUUUUUUCGAGUAUUUUUUUCAAAUACUCGGCAAACAAUCUUAUGCCAAGUGCCGAUCCAAAAACACUCGGCAAAAAAAAAACACUCGGCAAAGGGGGGUUUGGCGAGUGUAAACGAAAAAACACUCAGCAAAGGGGAGUUUGCCGAGUGUUUUUUUGUUACACUCGGCAAACCCUUUUUUUUACUCAUGCACCGCCCCACCCAGGCAUAAACGCAUGCUGCCCAAACCCCCACCCACCCACGCGCCCCUCCCCCCUCCCGGCCCCUCCCCUCCUCAGCUCCCUCUCGCGCCCCCUCCCCUCCUCACGCGGGACCCCACCCUCUUCCCUCCUCAGCAACUUGGCAGCCAGAUCCGGCUGGAGCUCGGCCGCCUCCUUCUCCCUCCUCCCUUCCCUCCUUCUCCCGCCGCCCCCUCCCUCUCCCCACCGGCGGGCGAGAUCCGGCAGCCGGGCGAGGCGCCUCGAGGGAGGGGGCUCCGGCGGUGGCGGCUAGAGGGGAGGGUGCUCCGGCGGCAGCCAGAUCCGGGCUCGACGGCGGCCAGAUCCAGAGCUUGGUAGCGGCCAGAUCCGGGCUUGGUGGCGGCGGGUCGAGGGGAGGAGGCUCUGUGGCGGCGGGCAUGUGCAUGGUGGCGGCGGCGGCGUGGUGGCAGUGGCUGCAUUGUUUUUUUUAUUUUUUUCAAAAAGUUUUGCCGAGUGUUCGACAUAAAACACUCGGCAAAGAAACUUUGUUGUAGCUUUCUUUGCCAUGUGCCCUUUGCCGAGUGUAACACUCGGCGAAGGGUUUGCCGAGAGUGUUUCUGGCUUUGCCGUGUGCCCAUAGUGUGGAAAUCAUCACAGAUGUUAAAAAUCAAUAUACGAGGUCGCAAUUGACCGAGUUGCUUCACUUUUGUAAAAGGUCACAGCAAGUUUUCAAGCAAACCAGUAAAGUGAUAAUUCUUCACUGACAUCGAAGAACUACGGUAGCAAUACUGUUCAUGUAGUAGCUCCUUUCCUCUUUCUUCCCAAAGUGAACUAGUAAACAGGUGGAGCCGAUGAAGCCAGAAUUUUGGGCUUCACCGGCUCCAGCUCCUAGGGUGCUACAGUGCUGAAGCCAGAGCACCUCAGAACCUUCCAAAGACACCCUUAACUGCCGCUGCUGUAGACACAGUCUCAAACAGGUUUAUCGGAAAUGCUAUCAUCAGGGCGUCCGGACGCCCAUCCACCUUUUCGGACGCGUCAUCCGCCGUUCGCUACAUCUGACGGCUCCGCUUCCUUCUUACUGGCAACCGUCCCCUUUCUUUUCUUGCGCGGUUAUUUCCCCUUUUCCAACCGGCAACCACCGCAUUUCCUCCUUCACUAUUCCAUUCCUUUUUACCGUUGUUGCUCCGGCAAUGCGGUCGCCGCGUCCGGUAGGAGGGACACCCAAGUCCUCUUCCGUCUCGCCGGCGCUCCCUUCUUCGCCUCCGGUGGGAAGGAUCACCAGGUCUUCAUCCGCCUCACCGGGAACGCGAUCGCCUCGCCAUGUUCGAAGUCCGUCCAGCCCCUCCACGCCGGCAAUGCGAUCGCCGCGCUCGCUUCGAAGUUCGCCUCCGGAGGUAAAUUGCAGCGAGCCAAGCAUCGAUGUUGGCGUUUCCUCCCACACGCGCUCUCGCCGGCAGCUCUCGUCUUCCCUUGGUUUGGACCCCGCUGCUGCUCCGCCAGAUCUGCGUGAAGCAAAUCCUCCCGCCAAUGCUCUUUAGGACAACGAUAACAACCGCGCGAGUGUUUUAAUUCCGUUCCGUUGUUUUUGUGUGGAUUUUGGUUCGGAUUUGAUUUCGUUUAGUGUUUUAGGGUUCGUCCGUUUAGUGUUUCUAGGAUUUUUGAACUAGCAUAUCCUGUGUUAGGGUUACAUGUCAACGCUAUUUUUUCAGUUGCGAUAUUGCAAAAGUUUUAGAUGAUAACAUUCAUGUUACCAUUUUAUUUCGAGAUGUUUCAUCAAUUACUUAUCAAUGUUGCUACAGAUUUUUUGAUAUGUUGCAAUAGUUUGGAUGAUGUUUAGACGUUAACAUUCAGUUCAUCUUUUUAAUUUUCAGUUGUUUCAUUAACUAUUUAUCAAUGUUGCACCUGCUUUACUUUGAUGUUGCAAUAGUUUACAGCAUGUUUAGGAUAUAACAUUCAGUUCACCUUUUUAAUUAUGAUGUGUUUCAUUAAUUAGUUAUCAAUGUUGCACCUGCUUUUUUGAGAUGUUGCAAAAGUUUAGAGUAUUACAUUGAGUUCACCUUUUUUAAUUCUGAGAUGUUUCAUUAAUUAUUUAUCAAUGUUACACUUGCUUUUUUGAAAUGUUGCAUAUCUGUACAGGUUAUAUGUUGUAUCAAUCAGUUAACAUAUUCAUUUUUGAAUUGUUUCAUUAAUUUAAUAUCAAUGUGGUACUUGCUGAAUAGGGAUGUUUCAAAGAAUUUUUAGAUUCUGAAACAUUAAAUUUUCAUGUACCAUUCAAUUAUAUGACUGAUACUUUGUUUUAUUUAUUGUUAGCAGUUAAGGUGCAGUUAAGAAAAGAGGAGGAACACUUCAAGACUAGAUUCUCAGUUCAUAGAAUUCGCGACCUACUUCCUAAUCUUGAGGAUCAUCAGAAGCAGUGGAUCAAUAAAGCUGGCUUUGGUGCUCUGUUGACGUUAGCUGAGUUUUCAUUGCCAGUGAAGCUUGUUAAAUGGAUGCUUAAACAUGUGGACCCUUUGCUCCGGGAGUUUAGAUACAGGAACAAGGUCAUUGUAUUCAACCGUGACCUUGUUUGCAUUCUUGGGCUUCAAAAUAGCAUCAUUCCUUUGAGAUUAUCUGGUGACUCGGAAGAUGUCAAGAAACUUCGGGAAGUCUACAAGGAUGGUGAUAGAGCUAAAAUUGCAAAGUGUAAAGAGAUUGUGCAAUCUAGCAAGGACAAGGAUUCCUUUGUGAGGCCUUUUUUCUCUGUUGGCUCUAGGGACUAUCUACACUCUAGGAACAGGCAACUAUGUCAGCCUCAAAUAUCUUCAUAGUCUAGUUGAUAUUUCUGAAAUCAGCACCUUUGAUUGGGCGGGGCAUAUGUUGGAUGAGCUGAUGAAUGAAGUGAAGAAGUACCAUAAAUUUACUCCUGAUAGGCUUGACAAAGACCACCAGAUGGGAUCUUGUCUAAUUAUUCUAGCGGUAUGGUUAUUUAAUGCCUUUCUUUCAGCAUUUUAAGUUCUUUUUUCCUGCCCAUUCAAUAAUUCUAUGAUCAUAUUCUUAUAUUCUCUCUUACAAGGAUCAUCUUAUCAAAUUUCAGAUUGCUUACAUGGACCAUCUUGAUUUACCAACUGAUCGAGGAGGCCAUCAAUUGAAUUACAAUCUGCCUCGUAUCUGCAAUGUUUCAAACAUAGACUUUGAUUUUAUCUUGGCAGUUGAUAAAAACAUGCUGGCAUUGGGCAAUACAUUUGGAAAACUCCCUGUAUGUUCUUUUCACAAUCUUUUCUUCAUUCUUUUUGCCUUCUUUUUCAUUGCUUUUUGCCUUCUUAAAAAUUUUCAUGCUUCUUUUCAUGAUCAGUUUCGCGACUUCUCCCGUACUCCUUAUGGUGGUGCCCCAAUUGUACAAGAACACCCUCUUGCUGUGCACGUGGACGAGCUGCUGAGGAGCCGCUGGACGUGAUCGACUACGUACGACUACGUUGUUCGACUACGUACGACUACGUGAUCGUCUUCACUGCACCGACGCAUAUCUACAUCUUCCGCACCAGUAGUGCGUCGAGUGGUAAUCCCGUGAUCCUUAUACGGCAGUUCUUCCUGGUUAUACGCGGUAGAAAUUUUGAUUUGCGCUAGCGUAGCCUACCUCGUAUCCCAACAGUGGUAUCAAGAGCCUUAGCUGCUUAGUUUUGGAUUCGGGAUGUGUGCAUAUGGAGAUAUGCGAGUUUUCUGUUUGAUCUAUGUCCUGGUUUCGUGCCCUUGCUGCAAUGGUAGUGUAACGACAUACUCCUACCGGUCGGUUUCCGCCAUCGGAGUUAAGUGAUACACGUAAAUCCAGUUGCAGUGAGGGAAGAUCAAUAUGAUUGGUCGAAUCGAGAUCCAGGGUCAUACGCCAGGCGCAUUAGAUGUGCAAUGGUAGAUGGGAUCUACUGCCGGGGUCGGGAUUUUGCCGUAUGCGCAUGCUUCGGUAAAUCAGCCGUAACUUUUCGGUAUGAUCUCGGAUCGGGGCGAUUUCUAUACGAAAAUUGAUCUACAGAAAAAGUUACACGUGAAUUUCAACCGCUUCGCCGUUUUCGGCGAAAUUAGAUUUGCCAAAUUCGGCUUGGAAGAUGGAGUUUCAGGCCUCCGAAGUUUGGAACGUUAGGACGCCUAACUCUCUUUUGCAGGAUGUAUCUUGUGAUCAGUAUGGCCCCCUUGUGUAUGUGAUGCAUAUGUGUAACUAAUUCGUGACCUGCGUGUCGCGCGUACGGCAACACGGCAGGAGCCAUAUGUGUUGUCACUUUAUUGUAUUUAAUGGUCUGCGUACCAAUCUGUGAUGAUCCAAGCAACUAUGUAAUCUUCAUUACUAGAUUCUUUACUAGCUAUUAGGCGUAAUAGCAUGCUCUAGUUCUUGGAGGACUCAUCACCAGGAGGAUGGCGCACAUGGAACAUGGAGAUGGAGAUCACCAUGGUGAACAGGUUCUAUGGAGAUGGAGAUCACCAUAUGAAAACGGGCCAUACUGUGUCACAAGCUGUGUGAAUGCUAUUCUGUUUAUGUUUUACUUUCUGCAUGCUGUGAUGUUAGAAGUAGAACGAUCCCUCGCAAAUUUUAAGUUAGUAUGCCCUCCCAACUAAAACUUGCACCGUCCCAUGUCUUGUACAAUUAGUGGUGGGUCUAUGAAAUUAGGGUGCCACUAGUUUUCCUUGACUAGAUGGGUUUGUGUCGGACACUUACACGCAUAAGGGUUGGUUUGCUUAACGAGGUCAUCUUAACGGUUAAAGACCUUGGGGCAUAAAGGUUGGGCGCCGAGACAUAGAGAUGUCACCCAACAACAGGAGUCAUAUGUGAUAUGAUUAGCAAAAGUUGCUUACCGAUCUACCUCGUUUGCUAGCGGUGAUGCUAAAGCUCACUAGUAGACUUGUUAGUUGUGGAUCCUGAAUCACUAAGUUUCAAUAGAGGGAUAUUGAUUUUAGUGGGAGUAGAUUCUGUUAAAAUAGUUUAAUGUAAUUUGCUCUAUCAUGGAUACGUUUGUCUUAGUGUAUUUUGCAUUACUUUUGUUGUAGAUUAAAUGGCACCUAGCAACACCACCACAUCGUUUGCUUUGCGUUCGGUACUUGAGAAGGACAAGUUGAAUGGAACAAACUACUCGGAUUGGAUCCGCAACCUGAGAAUUGUUCUCAGGGCUGAGAAAAAGGAAGAUGUUCUAGACAACCCACUACCAGAAGAACCUGCUGAGGAUGCACCCGCUGCUGCUAAGAAUGCUUACAAGAAAGCAUGUGAUGCUAACCUUGAAGUAAGCUGCCUUAUGCUUGCUUGCAUGGAACCCGAGCUGCAAAUGCAGUUCGAAACAAACCAUGAGGCGCACGAUAUGAUCGUGGCGCUUAGAGACAUGUUCCAAACACAGGCCAGGACUGAAAGGUUCAAUGUGUCUAAGGCCUUUGUUGAGAACAAGCUAGCAGAAGGCGCAGCAGUAGGACCACACGUGAUCAAGAUGGUUGGUUACACUCAACGGUUGGAGAAGCUAGGCUUCCCACUGGGCCAAGAGUUGGCCACUGAUUUCAUUCUUUCCUCUCUUCCGCCUAGCUAUGGGAACUUCAUCUCGAACUACCAUAUGCAUGGGACGGAGAAGGGAUUGAAUGAGCUGUGUGGUAUGCUCAAGACAGCAGAGGCUGACAUCAAGAAAAGCGCUAGUACCAGCCAUGUGAUGGCGAUACAGAACAAGCCCAGCUUUAAAAAGAAGGGCAAUUCUUGGAAGAAGAAGGGCAAGGCUGGAACGUCCAAGCCAAACCCACCGCCCAAGGUUAAAGCUGGACCUGGACCUGCUCCAGAUAAAGAGUGCUUUUACUGUCAUGAACUUGGUCACUGGAAGAGAAACUGCAAGCAGUACCUAGCUUCGUUGAAGAACGACGGAAGUAAGAGUACUUCUACCUCAGGUACGCUUGUUGUUAAUGUUAUAGACAACAUAUUUCUCGCUGAUACAGUUAUUAAUUCUUGGGUAUUUGAUACCGGAUCGGUUGCUCAUAUUUGCAAUUCGAUGCAGGGAAUGAUAAGAAGUAGAAGCGUGGAAAGAGGAGAAGUUGAUUUCCGCGUGGGCAAUAAUGCAAGAGUUGCUGCUUUGACCGUCGGGACGAUGCAACUCCACCUCCCGUCAGGAUUUAUUAUGGAUUUGAAUAAUUGUUAUUUUGUUCCUAGUUUAAGUCGAAACAUUUUGUCUCCUUCAUGCUUGAUGAAGGAUGGUUAUUCAUUUGCGAGUGAAAACAAUGGUUGUGUGAUCUCUAAGAAUAAUAUGUUUAUGGCUUUUGCACCCAUUGUGAAUGGAUUGUUUGUUUUAAAUCUUGAUGGUUCACCUGUCUGUAAUGUAAGUGCUAAAAGGCCUCGGCCUAAUGAUUUGAGUCCUACCUACUUGUGGCAUUGUCGUUUGGGUCAUAUAAGUGAAAAGCGCAUGAAGAAGCUCCAUUCUGAUGGACUUCUAACUUCGUUUGAUUUUGAAUCAUACGAGACAUGUGAGGCUUGCUUGCUAGGCAAGAUGACCAAGACGCCUUUCACAGGAUUUCCUGAGAGAGCAGUAGACUUGUUGGAACUCGUACAUAGUGAUGUAUGCGGACCAAUGAGCAUGACGGCUAGAGGAGGAUUCCAAUACUUCAUAACUUUCACUGAUGAUUUUAGUAGAUAUGGCUAUGUCUACUUGAUGAGGCACAAGUCUGAAACCUUUGAAAAGUUCAAGGAAUUUCAGAAUGAAGUUGAAAAUCAGCGUGGCAAGAAAAUUAAGGCCUUACGAUCUGAUCGUGGAGGCGAGUAUUUGAGCCACGAGUUUAGCAAUCAUCUAAAGAGUUGCGGAAUUGUUCCACAACUUACGCCGCCUGGAACACCUCAGAGAAACGGUGUGUCCGAGCGACGUAAUCGAACUUUGUUAGACAUGGUUCGAUCAAUGAUGAGCCAGUCGGACCUACCGUUGUCAUUUUGGGGAUACGCUCUAGAAACAGCAGCUUUCACACUAAAUAGGGUACCAUCUAAAUCCGUAGUUAAGACACCAUAUGAGAUAUGGACUGGAAAGGUUCCCAGUUUGUCUUUUCUAAAGAUUUGGGGAUGUGAAGUGUUUGUCAAGCGACUUCAGUCGGACAAGAUCACACCCAAGUCGGAUAAGUGCAUUUUCGUGGGAUAUCCAAAGGAAACUUUGGGAUAUUAUUUCUACAACCGAUCAGAAGGCAAAGUGUUUGUCGCUCGGAACGGGGUUUUCCUAGAGAAAGAGUUUCUCAAAGGAGAAAAGAGUGGAAAGACAGUGCAUCUUGAAGAAGUUCAAGAUGAGCCAAUCGGGCAAGAAUCAAUGAGUGAUGCUAACGUAGCAGAACAAGUUGAGAUACCCAUGGCAAGAGAAGCACCGCCACAACCACGAAGGUCGGCAAGGCUCCGCGAAAUGCGAGAAAUAUUAUUGUUGGACAAUGAUGAGCCUGCGACAUAUGCAGAAGCAAUGAUGGACCCAGACUCCGAAAAAUGGCAGAGUGCCAUGCAAUCCGAAAUAGAGUCCAUGGGAGACAAUCAAGUUUGGAACUUGGUUGACCCGCCUGAUGGUGUUAAAGCCAUAGAGUGCAAGUGGAUCUAUAAGAAGAAAAAGGACAUGGAUGGAAAUGUUCACAUCUAUAAAGCACGACUUGUCGCAAAAGGUUUUCGACAAGUUCAAGGAGUUGACUACGACGAGACCUUCUCGCCCGUAGUGAUGCUUAAGUCCAUUCGGAUUAUUCUAGCUAUAGCUGCAUAUUUCGAUUAUGAGAUAUGGCAGAUGGAUGUCAAGACAGCUUUCCUGAAUGGAAACCUAGCUGAGGACGUGUAUAUGAUACAGCCCGAGGGUUUUGUCGAUCCGAAAAAUGCUGGAAAGGUAUGCAAGCUUCAGAGAUCCAUUUAUGGAUUGAAGCAAGCAUCUAGGAGUUGGAACAUUCGUUUUGAUGAAGUGGUCAAAGGGUUUGACUUCACCAAGAACGAAGAAGAGUCUUGUGUUUACAAGAAGGUUAGUGGGAGCUCUGUAGUAUUUCUAAUCUUAUAUGUGGAUGACAUAUUAUUGAUUGGAAAUAACAUUCCUAUGCUUGAGUCCGUAAAGACUUCACUGAAAAAUAGUUUUUCGAUGAAGGACUUAGGGGAAGCGGCAUAUAUUCUGGGCAUUAAGAUCUAUAGAGAUAGAUCGAGAAGGCUUAUAGGUUUGAGCCAAGAUACUUAUAUUGACAAAGUGUUGAAGCGGUUCAGCAUGGAAGAGGCAAAGAAAGGGUUCUUGCCUAUGUCACAUGGCAUACAUCUCAGCAAGACUCAGUGUCCUUCGACUGCUGAUGAGCGGGAUCGCAUGAGUAGAGUACCAUAUGCCUCGGCUAUUGGAUCUAUCAUGUAUGCAAUGAUAAGUACUCGCCCAGAUGUUUCAUAUGCGCUAAGUAUGACAAGCAGACACCAAUCUGAUCCAGGUGAGAGUCACUGGACAGCGGUGAAAAACAUUCUUAAGUACUUGAGAAGGACUAAAGAUAUGUUCCUCGUCUAUGGAGGUCAGGAGGAGCUCGUUGUAACAGGUUACACCGAUGCUAGUUUCCAAACCGACAGAGAUGAUUCAAAGUCACAAUCAGGAUUUGUGUUCACACUGAAUGGUGGUGCUGUUAGUUGGAAGAGUUCCAAGCAGGAGACGGUGGCCGAUUCUACGACGGAAGCCGAGUACAUCGCGGCUUCGGAAGCCGCGAAGGAAGGUGUUUGGAUUAGGAAUUUCCUCAUUGAGCUUGGUGUGUUCCCGAAUGCGUCCAGCCCAUUGAAUCUCUACUGUGAUAACAAUGGGGCAAUUGCGCAAGCAAAGGAGCCAAGGAACCACCAGAAGAACAAACACGUAAUGCGGCGAUUUCAUCUCAUUCGAGACUUCAUUAACCGGGGUGAGAUCAAGAUAUGCAAAAUACACACGGAUCUGAACAUUUCUGAUCCGUUGACAAAACCACUCCCGCAGGCUAAGCAUGAUGCGCAUGUAAGAGCUAUGGGUAUUAGGUACCUUCUAGAUUGACUCUAGUGCAAGUGGGAGACUGUUGGAGGUAUGCCCUAGAGGCAAUCAUAGAGAUGAUGAUAUUCCAUUUGUAUCCAUGAUUUGCAUAUUGUGUUCAUUGAAUAUCCAUUAAAGGCUACUUGAAUUGAUUUGCAAUUAUGUGAAUUGUAUGUGAAACUCUUUACUUGUAUGGUUAUUCUAAAGUUGUCCCUAGUCGGAGUUCAUGUGAGGACACACAUGAAUAUUAGACUAGCACAUGUAUUAGUUGAUGACUAUGUUUCACAAGUCAUGGACAUGGAGAUGUUGAACUAAUAAUGUGGACACAUGUGGAGACAUGUGUUAGGACUGACCCAACACGAGAAGUAGUUCUCUCUUUAAACAACAUAUACGCUUUGUCCUUAGACCUGAGAUUGUCGCAUGUAUUCUAGAUGUGGAUCGACCUACUUAGGGGCUAUCAAACGCUACGUCGUAACAGGGUAGUUAUAAAGGUAGCUUUCGGGUUUGUCAAGAAGCAUGCUAUGAGACAUGGUCAAUCAAGAUGGGAUUUGCCCCUCUCUGAUUGAGAGUGAUAUCUCUGGGCCCCUCGAGUGAUCGGAUCCGAAAAUGCAUGGCCAUGCUACGUACGGUUAAGAGUUAACCUACAAAGGGAUUCCGAAUCACAGGAUCGAGAAAGAGCGGUCAGCUUGAAGCUAGACCAAAUAUCGUGAGGCAAAGGGAAUAGCAUGUAUAUUAUGUUGUGAUGGUUCGUCUGAUAUGAUCUUCGUAUGCGUAUAGGAGUUGGCACGUCUUGCUAGAGGCCGCUACCGACUAUUGGGCCGAGUAGGAGUACUCGGGCCAUGUCUAUACGUAUCCGAACCCAUAGGGUCACACACUUAAGGGGCUGGAAGCCCAAUUCGGAUCUGAUCCGAGUUGGAUUAGGUUUAGGAGUGCUAAUGGGCCUCGGAUCCAGAGGCCCAUCAGGAACCUCUAUAAAUAGAGGGGUGGGGGCGCCCUAGGGUUUACACCUUUUGGCUGAACACACUUGCCGCGCCUCCCACGCCCUCGCCUGUUGCAACUCGCGGAUCUAGCAAUCCGGCUUGCGACGCUUCCUCCCUGCACGUGUGGAUACCUUGGAGGUGUUGCGCCUGCAACACUUGGACGAGCCAUCGACGAGCCGCCGACGAUCCACGACGAGCCGACGACGAGCCGCGGCACCGGAGGCGAUCUUGCUGUGCACGUGGACGAGCUGCUGAGGAGCCGCUGGACGUGAUCGACUACGUACGACUACGUUGUUCGACUACGUACGACUACGUGAUCGUCUUCACUGCACCGACGCAUAUCUACAUCUUCCGCACCAGUAGUGCGUCGAGUGGUAAUCCCGUGAUCCUUAUACGGCAGUUCUUCCUGGUUAUACGCGGUAGAAAUUUUGAUUUGCGCUAGCGUAGCCUACCUCGUAUCCCAACACACCCUGCCCCUGCUGUUGGAAUUCCUGCUCCUGCUGCCACUGAGGAAGCCCCUGACCCAGCUGCCACUGAGGAAAUCCCUGCUGUCAGCUCUUUAGAUGAAUGGCUGCAUCAACUACCAUCCAGUAACAAUCUUCUUCAUCAGGUGAAAAAACAUGUUACAUUUUCAGUUUCUGAUUGUGUCAUCUUAUUAUACUCUAUGUUGCAAUUCAUUCUAUGCUCAAACACUUUUAAUGUUGUUGUAGUAUAUCUUUAAUGUUGCAACAAUACAAUAUAAGUGUUGCAAUAAACUUAUGUCUCCUUCAAUAUGAUUAACAUGAAUUCUGGACCCAUAGUUUGGUUUCAUUUAAAUUUGUGUUGUUGUAGUAGUUUUUUUAAUGUUUCAGAAUCAACAAAUAGGUGUUGCAGAAAAAUAUAUCUGUUUCACAAAAUAUAAUAUGUUUCAGCUUGUUUUCACCAAUGUUUCAGUUCACAUUCUUAUGGUGUUGCAUGUUAACUUUCUGUGUUUUUCAUAUUUUUACUUUCAUCCCAUCAUGUUGCAAUGUCCCAAUACACUUCUUGCUAAUACUAUUUUAUUUAUUUUAUAAUUCUAUAUAAUAGACCCCUCUCGAGUAUCAGAAUGUUGCUUCUCAUUACUCUAAACUUGUGAAGCAAGAUGUUCUCCAACUUGCCGAUGCUAUCUCUACAACCAUCAGUGCACAAAUUAAAGAUAAGGUCAUGGCUAUUUGGAGGAGGCGUCACAUUGAAAUGUUGGGCAAGAUGGCAGAUCUAGCUAACAUGGUGAGGAAUGAUGGUGUUGAAGCAGGGGUUUCCACCUCUAAUGUUGAUGCAGCAGCUCCUUCCAUGUGUGGUGGUUCAGAUGGGCAAACUUCCAAUGCUGCUGCCACAACAGAUGCAUCAACUAGCACUUUAGGAGCCCCCACCAGUGCUACUGGUUCACCUGUUGACAAGAGAAGCAACGAUUCAAGUUAUCUUGAUGACAUCCCUUCAUUUGAUCUCUUGUCCAGCCAAGGAAUUGAAACAGAUUGUUUGACCCCAGCGGCAGCAGGAUCUAAUUUGGGUGACGUUUUUUUUACCUUUUUUGUCUCCAUUUUCAAUCCUUUUUUCUUACACAUAUUUGAGUAUUUUGUUAUUCUUGUGUUUGCAGCUGAUCUCACCAUUGAUGAGACUAUUGUUAACAAGCCUGGGUCAAGUACAUUUGAUAAGAAAAACAGGAGGAAGAGGGCUGCCAUCCAUCUGAACCAAGGAAAGAAAUUGAAGAGGAUUAAGUUAGAUGAUGAAAUUGUUACUGCAUAUAACAAAUAUCUCAGCAAGAGGAUAAUGAGGAAAGUGCCGAUCAAUCCAAAUGCGAAUAAUGAUGAACAAGAACAACCGUGAGCAACUCUUUAUGUCUUUCUCAAUGUUCCUUAUGUAUGUUUCACAUGUUUCAGUAGGUCUAGUUAGAUGUUUCAAGUAUGUAGUACUCAUGUUACAGUAGUUCAAUUUUUUAUCCAAUGUUCCUUAUGUAUGUUUCACAUGUUUCAGUAGGUCCAGUUAGAUGUUUCAAAUGUGUAGUACUCAUGUUACACCAGUUCAUUUUUUCCCCAAUGUUUCUUCUGUAUGUUUCACAUGUUUCAGUAGGUCUAGUUAGAUGUUUCAAAUAUGUAGUACUCAUGUUACAACAGUUCAAUUUUUCCCCCAAUGUUCCUUCUGUAUGUUUCACAUGUUUCAGUAGGUCUAGUUAGAUGUUUCAAAUCCUAAUUUAGUUUUUUUUUAUCCCAGCCCACCAUUUGUUCGAAUUGAUGGCUUCCAUUUUACUUAUGAUGAAUUCUAUGGAUCCUUCAAGCAAAGGGGGGAAAUUAAUAACCAUGUGAUGGCUUUAUGGUCCUAUGAAUUCAACAUUGAAGAAGAUGAAUUGCGUGAGAAGGAUAAUAACAUCGUUAAGAAAUUUGCUUUAUCUACUGUUCUCACUGUAAGAUUUGAAUUCUGUUUUGCAAUUUUUUAUUACCAUCAUUUGUGCCCUACAUUCAUUUUGAUAGUUUCUAACUUUUUUUUCAAGGACAAGCUAAAAAUUGAACAUGAUAAUUUCAUACAAAACAGCUGCCACACGGCUUUGACAAAGUUGAACAAGUCUUGGGAUCUCUCAAAAAUGGAUCCGGUACUGUGUUGCACAAUUAAGUUGUCUUUCAUUUCCCAUUCUUUUUUUUCUUAUCUACUUCUUUUAGUUGUUUUUCCCUAUUGUUGAAGAAGGGCAUUGGGUACUUGUCAGUGUCAACAUGUUUCUAAAGGAAAUUUGCUGGUUCAAUUCUCUUGGGGGAUCUCGUGAUACGAAAUAUUUUGUUUCUGCCAAGAAUGUGGUCAGUACUCUCAAACUUGCAUCUCUUUUUUUUGUUAUUAAUAGCCUCUGUUACUUGAUGCUUUUUCAUCUUAUGGUGUGUCAAUAAUUGAAAAUCAAUGUUGCACCUGAUGAUUUGCGAUGUUGCAGAACUAUAGAGGUUGUAGAUUGUAACAGACAAUUAACCUUUUAGAAUUUGCGAUGUUACAAUAGUUAAUUAUCAUUGUGGCAGAUGUUGAUUUGAAAUGUUUCAAUAGUAUAUAACGUACCAUUUGGUUCUAUUUUUAGGUCACCAAUUUUUCAAAAGCAUGUUUACAAGCUGGGGUGCUAAACAAAGACAUCUCUCUGUUUGAUUGGAAAUAUCCCACGGACUACCCGCAUCAAAAAUCUUUGUAAGUUUUUCAUCAUUCAUGUGCUUACAUAAAGAAUUAUUCAUGCAGUUUUUUCAUCUUUUCUCACCAUGUUUAUUUUGAUAACCCAAUUCUUUUUGUUUUCAGGCAUGAUUGUGGGUUAUACACAAUGCUAUAUAUGGAGUCUUGGAAUGGGAAGAAGAUGGACACCACAUUUGAGCCAGUAUGUCUUAUUGCAAUGUGGCUACCUAAUUCUUUUACCCAAAUACAUGAUGUUACUUCUGCAAUUUUUUGGUACCUAAUUCUGUUUUCUUUUUCCCUUUUUUAGCACAUGAUUGCAAACUAUAGGAAAUUGGCUGUAGGCAUUCUCCUACUUUCUCCAAGAAAUGAUAUCCUAACAAGCGAGUUUGUUGAAAAGUAUUGCAACUAGAAGUAGUGACAUCAUGUUUCGUUGUGCAAUAUAGGAGUUUAGGUCUCUGUAUAUAGCUAACAAUCAUCUUAGAAAUAUGGAUGUAUGGAGUAUUCAGGAUUGUGGGAUACCAAUUAUUUUCCUCAGCUUAGUUUUUUUAUAUGUUGCCGUAGUGCACUUUAUAUGUUGCGAAUUCUGCUUUACUAUGUUGCAGAAAUGUUGGCUUUUAUUUUCUUGUUUGCAACAUUCAUGGAUAACUGAUGAAACAUCAUUAACUUACUGUUGCAACAUAUAUAAUAAAUCUUUUGUUUUCUUACCUUCUUCCUUGUUUUAUAUCUUCAAUUGGUGUAGUAUGUUGCUGUACUAUAAUUUUAAUGUUGCAAACUCUACUGAACCAUGUUGCAAUAAUGUUGUCAUGCCAUUUUUAUUUUGCAACAAGUGUUCACAACAUUUGAAACACCAAACCACUGAAUUUGCAACAUCAACUGUCGCAAUAAUACAUCACAUCUUUUUUUUAUGCCACACCACAUGCAGUUUAAUUCAUCUCCAGCUCAUGGUCUAAUACCAAUACCACAAGGCUCAAUCUCAUACAUGGGCAUAACAGCGGCAUCACAAAAAAAAUUUAGUAUAAAUGAGACAUAAUGUUGCAAUUCAUAAAAUGAAAUGUUGCACUACUUUCUAAUGCAUGUUUCAGCUCAUUCUAAUAAAGGAAUAAUUAAAAAUUCAGAGCUUCAGCUCUGUUUCUUUGAGAUCCCUUGCAAGUGCCUCCGCCUUGGCCAUGUACGCGCAAGUUUGUACACUAUGACCAUCUUCAAAGCAAUAUGAGCAUGGUGGGAUUUUUUGGGCCGUCUUCUUUUCUUUUGCCUUCUUUUUCAUUGCUUUUUCCUUAGCUUGUGCCACUACUGACUUGAACCUUUCCACCUUCUCCUUUGGUCUCCCUUUACUUUUUGUUCUUGUUGGAUUCUUUACCAUGACAACAGGAGGAGUUUUAGACUGUUGACCUGUUGCAACAUUGGACGCUUCAUCUUGUUGCAUUUCUUGUGACCCCCUUACUAUCCUGACUGCUUGUACCAAUGUAUCUAUCCUAGCUGAAGCUACAAUGUACUUUUCAGGACCCAAACAAGCUUCAGCUGCUAGUGACGUCAUUUUUUUGCACAAUGCAUUGUACCUUAGCUUGCUUGUGGUUGGGACACCAAAUGCUAGUUCUGUAGAGAGGCGUUCCGGUAUCAUUAUAGUCACUUCCUUUGACCAUCUUCUAAGUAGAUACUUCUCUGGAAUUUUUUCGACAUCCCUGUUUGUGAAUACUUUUAGUAUGUGAGGACAUAAGAGGCCAUCAUGGUCAAACAUGUUGCAAGAGCAUGUAUAUGACGCUGCAUCUUUAUCAAUGGUGACCAUACGGACUCUAGUUGAAUUUGGGUGCACAAUUUGAAUGGACCAACCCUGGUCAUCACUUUCAACAGGCCCUACCUUGUAUCUUGUAGAAUCAUGCAACAACCCUUGAAAUUUACCAAAGACUUCAUCGGUGUAGAAUGCAGCAGCUUGCUUCUCAAAAGCAUACCUUCCCCAUAGUGGUGGAUCUGAAAUCUCUCCCUUGCAACGCUCCUUAUUUUCACUUUCUGCCCUGGUGUCCAUGAUGUAAUCAUAUUGUGUUAUAAAUUGCAACAUUGAGUCCUGAGGGUGAACAACUUUCUCAAACAAUGAAUUCAUGCUUUUCGAUCUUCCUGUUGUGCCUAUGAAGGGGGAGAAGUACUUUCUGAAGUGUGCAGGUGCCCACAUCCUCCUUGUACCAGACAUACUUUGAAAGAAUUCAUUUUCCUGCAAGUGGUAUUUGUCCUCUAUGCUUGCCCACAACAUCUCGAAUUCUUCUGGUGUAUCAGUUCUGUUCACACAGUAGUCAAACUCCUUUGCAAAGUCUUCUUCCUCACUAAUAAGCCAAGCAAGCUUAUCAUUAGCCUUGCUCAGGACAUGCCACUUGCAACAUCUGUGUGUUGCGUUAGGGAACACUAUUGCUAUUGCUGCUUUUAUUGCUUUAUCCUGGUCUGUCAUUAUGUUGGUUGGUUCACGCCCACCCAUUGCUCCCUUCAACCUUUCUAGCACCCAAACAAAUGUUUCCGUUGUUUCAUCUGGCAACAUUGCACAUCCAAGCAGUAUGCUAUGCAAAUGGUUAUUUAUCCCAACAAUUGGUGCAAAAGGCAUGUCGUAUCUGUUGGCGCAAUAUGUUAUGUCAAAAAAAUGCAAUUUCCAAAACUCUUGUACAGCUCUCUAGUCCUCCCAUCUACCCAAAACAAUCCUCUAACAACAUUAUUAUCAUCUAUCAUUGUUGCAUAAUAGAAGGAAGGACUUUCAGCUUGUUGCUUUUGAAAAUACUCUAAUGUUGCAUCCAUAUACCUGUAGGUGAGACCUCCUCUCAAGUGUGUCCUCAUGUUUGAAACAUCCUUGCUGCUGAAAGUAAGGUUGCCAAGUCCCCCACGAAAAUCAGCAAGCUCCCCCAUGAUCUGUGUUGUGCUAAUAUUUCUAUGGUGUAGUGUUUUCAGCAGCUCAUAAUCAGCCCACGAGAUGCUUCGGUGGGACCUCAAGUGUUUCCUAACCCCAAUCGCCUUGAUCAUGGGAUGAGUAUGGUCAGGUUGCAUUACAAUCACUCUCCACCUCGAAUUUCUCAAGCCAACCGCCAUAUGAGCUUUGCAAUCCAACUUUUUGAUAGUGUUGUGCUUCCUUGUUGCCGUGGUAAGCACAGCUGUUGCUACUCUUUUUUUCGAUCCCACUAGUGUUGCAGUGUCAUUUGUUGAUGUGCUCGCUGAUGUGUUUUCCUCUCCAUCAUCUUCUCCAUCAAUAGCUGGCUUCCUAGCAUGAGAACACUUCCACUCCUUUCUGAUCAGCUCCUUUGUGACGUUGCUAUUUCUUGAAGAAGCCACUCUUAUGCUGAAAUCCAACUUCAUGGCAUACUCAUUGUAAACCCGCUUUGCUUCCUAUAUCGUGUCAAAUUCCAUCCCGACUUUCGGCACAAUAAGCUGUGAGCAUACGAUGUCUUCAUCCUCAUGGUAGACCUCUUCAUUUGCACCAACUUGUACUGAAACAUAUUCACUUGAGUGUGUUGUUAUGCUCGCAACAGGAACCAAUGCUCCAUCCCCCUGCAAAUAAAUGUUGCAGUUAGUGUUACUAGCGAAAUCAAUGUUCAGAUGUUGCAAAUACUGUACAUGAAAGUAAGAUGCAACAUUCAGUUAGCACAUACAAUUUUUGAUGUUUCAAUAACUGAUUUUCAAUGUGGCACAUGCUAUCAUUAGAUGUUGCAACACUUAUAUGUAACAUUCAGUUAACCCAUGAGCAUUUUGAGAUGUUUCAAUAACUGAUUUUCAAUGUGGCACAUGCUAUCAUUAGAUGUUGCAAAAUUGUAUAAGAUUCUGUCACAUCUAGUGUUUCAAACGAAAUCAUACCUGCCGUUUCUGGAGACUCGAUUGGGAUGCCAAUCCCCCAUGGACGCUGCUCGAAAGACCUGGAGACGGGUGUUGAAGUGAAUUAUCACACUUGCUCGAAGAAUUCAAUGCAACAUUUAGGGAUUUCGAGCAACAAUGGGGGGCGGCAUACCUGGUAGCGUGUUGAGGUCAAUCAUCUGUAGAUCUGAGGGGUUCCAAGCAACAAUGGGGGGCGGGUGGCCACCAUGUGGUUGAUCUGGACGGGGGAGUUCGAUUUUUUUGAAGGAUAUGUGCCAUCUUCACUCGUCGCGGCGGAUCUGGGCGGCGCCGCCGGCGCAUCUGGGUGGCGGCGCGAAGCUGGGAGCUUCGCUCCUGUCCCGACCCGCGUUUAGGAGUUGACGCCAGGGUGCUAUUUUUCUAUGGUUGGUGCGGACUUGUCCCGAUCUCCUUGUGUUUCAUCUGACGGCUGACACGUAUUGAAUCCGACGGUGGAGAGUGCGUCCGAUUUUUGCGCCCGGAACGGAUGUCCGGGCGCUAGUAGUUCCGCAGGUUUAUUAGCUCUCGGUUUGAUUUAGCUUGGCACCCCUCCCCCCGAAGGAAACAAAGUAACCAUUGCUGUGAAAUGCCAAACACCGUAUGAUGUCCCUGGAGAGACCAAAGUGUAGCAGUGCAUCUCAAAGGCCAAGACUUGUUCCUUGACCAAAGAAUAUAAUAUUGCCCAGAGACGUGAAUCAUGUACAUGUGUAACACGUAUUGAAAUGUCACUUAAUUGGACACUAUGCCCUUAUAAAGGUGCUAUGGGGAAUUUGGGCUUUGGAUUAGUCAUUGUUCAUAAACUCAAUUGAUGGGUCUCUUUCCCCAAAAAUUAAUUCCUUUCUCUGCUCCCCUCUGUAACAGUUUUUCAAGAUGCUUUACCCAAACCCUAUAUGUGUAAUCGUCAUGAAGAGAUUAAUUGUCACGAAGAAAUUAAUAACAAUAGAAAAGGAUAAGACAUCAUCACUAGUGUGGCAAAUCAUUUUUAUUUUAAAACAGGAUGCCCAAAACGAGGCAUCUGUAUAUUUUUAAAACUGUGGGAUCUUCAGACUGGGUUUUAAUAUGCUAUAAUGAAGCUUGGCACCUUGUAUGCGUAGAUAUCAGUCUAAUAUAUAUUCCCGUAUUAUCUGUUAUACACGUCAGUGCCUCUUCAUUCUUAUUAAUUACAAAACAAAACGUCCUAUCAUUGCCAAUCUUGUAAAUGCUAUAUAAACUGGAGAACAAGCGGAACUUCUAGUGUUAUAUGAUAAGUUCGCCCGUUCUGGUCCUAGUCCCAGCUUUGAAGCUCAUUCCAGCAAGAUUACAACCUUGUCCACCCACCAUGGGCAGUUUCGCUCCUGCUGGAGCCAUCGCCGAGAGAUCAAUUGAGAUGGAAGAGGCCACCAUCGUCGAAUGUGGGGUGGAGAGGAAGAAGGAUAAUGCUGCAGCGGCAGGGCUGAUGUGGAAGGCACCGGCAGCCAUGGUGCUGGUGCAGCUGAUCAUCACAGGGCUGACCAUGCUGUCCAAGGUAGUGAUCAGCCGCGGCAUGUUUAUCUUCGCGCUCCAUGCCUACCGCAGCGCCUUCGGUACCAUGUGCAUCCUUCCCUUCGCGAUGUUCCACGAGAGGUGCAUGCCCGAAUAACUCCACACUAGCUAGUUUCGUACAUCCACAUCUUGGUUGCUUUUAUUUCUUCACCACAGUAAAAUAGUAUUAUGGAUCGGUGCCUGGAAAUGUAUUUAAUCCAUUUUCUCAAAAUUGUAGCUUUUUGUGCAAUAAAGCAAUCUAUUUGAUAUUUUUUUUUGAAACUUUGUAAAGACGAAACACUUACACGUGCUCUCUCCUGUGUGAAUACACACACGUAACUCUAUCACUACGAGCAAGUCUGAGAGAGUGGGUUGGCAUAUCUUAAUACUGACGAAAUCACCAUAGACAUUUCACUAUCAUCGUACACUAUCUCGCAUACUACUGAACAAUAGCAUUGCUAAUUUCUGUAAUAAAUCUAGGACUUAGCUACGUCAAAGGACUCGAACUCGGAUGGUCAGUCUUCACCACCAUAAGGAAUCUAACCGACUUAUCUAUGCUUUGAUCCCAACCGUUGAAGAAAUUUGUAAAUGCUAAAUACACUGUUACAUGCAUAUGGAGAAGUACAAGUUCAUUUACAACCAUAAGGUCAAACGGCUCAAAUUUAAAAAUUAGGUGCUUAGUCCAAACGGUUUUUAAAUUUAUAUAUAUUUUAAUUUCUUGCAGGGCGAAGUGGAAGGAGAUGAACUGGCGAUCCUUGGGAUGGAUCUGCCUCAACUCAUGCAUAGGGUACCUACAACAACGCUCAUAUUCAGUUAUAAUCUUUUACUAAUUUCUUCCUCUGUGGUCAUGGAAAAAUAUAGAAUGCCCUGUGAUGUGACUUGGGAGCUGUACUCAACCGAAGUGCCAUGUGAUUAAUUUAGCACACGCAAGCUUGCUUUGUGUCCGCAAAUCUAACAACGCUUUCACGGAGAACUUAGAAAACACUUUAGUCUACUUAUGGGGUCGGUGCAUCCGUCGUAAAAGGGUGGUUGAGUUACGAUACUUGAAAACUUAAAGCCUAUAUGGCUCCUACUAGAGCAAUGCUCAAGAUAAACCUACACAAGUCUAUCUAGAUAUGCUCUAAGGUUUAUCCAGUAUGUAUGCUCAUACUACGUACGUUGGCCCUAUGCAGGUAUACCAAUGUAGACUUUUGCAACUUAGAGCCAACUCUAUCGAGUACUCUUAGAAAUGUAAAAGUGCACAAAAUUGAAACGAUCGACGUUAGAAGAUAAAAAAAAGAGGGGUGCAAACUCGGUGCAAGAAUUUUCCCAUGAUUUUAAUUGGUUGACAAACAGCCACCUCUAAUCAUAUUGUAGCUUCCCGAUUUUUAGAGCAUUUUAAACAUACCAAAGAUUUUUGACCGAAGUCAGCAUAGUCAGCAGGGGAGGCUGCUCCCACAGGGAGUCGAACCCGGUUCUACUAGAUGCUACUCAGGUACUCUAACUAUUAGGCUAGAGGUCCUUUCGCUAAGCAUACCAAAGUUUUGAGGUUUUUUAUUUUUCUCUACAAACUAACUGAUCAUCUUUCUUUUAUUAACUAGGAAAUAUUAAAACCAUAUAAUUUUAAAACCUGCAAGAAAAUCUUACAUUUGUGUUGCAUUUGUUUGCCUCCAUUCUAAACCCUAGAUUCCAUGUAAUCUCUUUUCCUCGGCUUAAAUCUGGAUUUUAUUCGAAUUUAAAUCUUCCAACCAAACAACAAAAACUAUCUCUAAGUCCCAUUUCUGGCACUGGGCCAAAAACCCAUCCACCUUCAUUUGGUCCACAAUAUUUUCUUCUUUUCUUUUUUUCCCGGCCUAGCUCCAACUUCCACCAACUUGCUCAUCUCCAACCUUCCACCAGCCUGCUCAUCGAUCUGUCCAACUGUGUCUUCACCAGUCCUUUGCAUCUCCUUUGGUUCCACCCCCCCCCCCCCCCCCGCCCCCACCCCAACACACAUGUAAAAAUAGCGUUGUCAACAAGUUAUAGCGACGCACUGCAUCCUCCCUCUCAUCUUCCUCGAUGUCACCAGGUUGUCAUGAACUUGCCUUGCACUGCUCCCCUUCCACACUGCUAGAGAAUGCUAGAGAAGAGGCCUUCCAUCCAGCAUUUUUAAUCUCGGUUGUUUUCGGACCUGGGAGUAAAGGACCUUUAGUCCUGGGUCAAAAGGCC
rnacentral:lncRNA from 1 species